rnacentral:lncRNA from 1 species
UUGGAUAUUUCAUUAUAUUCUUGAUGUGUUGACGUAUAUAUGCGGAUGAAUUAAGGUUUAGAGUUUAUGAUAUACUAAUGGUGAUUAGAGUUUAAUAAUGAUGUUUGAGAUCUAGUAAUAAAUAUUUAAAAUAUAACGAUGACGUUACCAUGCCAUCAAUAGCAUGGUAGGGAUCGGCCAUUUUUUUAUUCGAUUACUCAAUCUUUCAAAAUCUUUAAAUUUUUUUUGCUUAAUCUUUCAGUUUGUUUGAUUUAAGUGAUCUAAUAACUGUUCUGACAUAAAAUUUAUUCCGCACAGUUCUAUCUGUAGAUAGAAAAAGAGGAGUUAAACAUAUAUAAAAGAUAAAUAUACCCAUUUCCACUUGUUUAAACUUUUAGAUUAUGUCGAUUAUUUAAUACAGUAAUAGAGAAAAAGGUUUUGAAUUCGAAUUCGAUCAUGCUUCUACUUUUAUUGAAUAUUUCAAGCGCAGGUGCGAGGAAAAAUAUUGAAUACAAAUAUAAUUACUAGUAGUUUAUUAGUCCUUUACGGCGAGGUUGGUUCCCCAACCAAAAAAAAAAGAAAAUCAGAAAACAAUUUUUUGGCAAGAAAAAUAUGUUUGGUAUAUUUUGGCUUUCAGUUUGAAAAGUAGUUUUCUGAAACUUUCUUCCGAAUUUUCAUUGAAAACUCCUUUUUUUUUUGUUUUCCACAUUUUUUUAUUUGAAAAAUAAAAACUAUGAAAAAAAAGGAAACUUUUCUUUCCCCUAAAAAAUAGUUUUUCACAAUUUUUUGAGAAACAAAAAGCCCACUCAAAGAAAAGAUUGGUUGUUUAAUAAGAUGCCUCAAAUUAGAGCUUUUUAAGAGCUUUUAUUUUUGGAUCUAAAAAUUGUAGCUUUUUGCUACAAAGAGAAGAUUUUGAAACACUUUAACUUGUUUAGUACAAUUGAUUAGUAUAUCACUUUUUAAUAACUUAAGUAUAACAAAAAUAAAAAUAAAAAAAAACUGUUGUUUAGCAAAUUGGCCUAGCUUGCUAUAUAUUGUUACAUCCAAAAUGCUAUAGACAUUUUAGUUGAGACAAUAUUAAUUUAUUAAUUUUUAUAUACCAAACAUAAAUAUUCUUCGAUUCAAAAAGGUUGAUAAUUACGAAGUUUUGCUAGAGAAAAAAGCUUUAAUUAAUUGAUACCCAUUAAUUAAUUAUCUUAGCUUAAUUUCAUACAAGCUGAUAUUUUUAAAUCAUAUUUUACUAUGAAAAAUGCAAUUUUUCAUUUUUAUCCCUCAAAUAAUAACUAGUGCCGAAUAUUUAUUUUUCUUUUUUAAUUAACAUCCAAAUUUCUAUACUUUUAUUUAGGGAUAGUAAUCUAUACACCCUUUUACCUUUUUUUCAUUUCAAAUAAUUUUUUCCGCUAUCCAAAAAUGACUCCGCUACUAGUAGACCUGGCAAACGGACGGGUUGGGUAAUCCACGGGCGGGUCAUUGUACUCGUCGGUUAUUUGGGCAUGGGUAAAAUUUAUACGUAAAGUUUUGGGUAGCCAACAUCUUUACCCAUACCCACCCGCAAGUGGGCGGGUGAGUAUGCGGGUUAUCUGCAAUCUUUUUUUCUUUUUUUUCUCUUAUAUUUUUUAAAUACAAAACACAUAUAUAUAAAUUUUAAAAGUAUAACAUAACUCAUUAUUUAAAAUAUCAUAACAUACAAUAAAAAUAUUUAAAAUCUUAAAGCAAAAAAUUUUCAUACAAAAAUAACGCGAUAAGAAAUUAGGGUUAGAAUUUUUAGGAUGAGUAAACAAAAAUAUAUAUAUUUUAAUUAAGAAAAUAUAUUUUAAAUAUAUGUGUGGAUACCCAUGGAUAUCCGCGGGUUACCCAAAAUGCCCUCAACUUAAUGGGUACCCACCCGUUUUAUCCGUAAUUUUUUGGGUUGAAAAAGUUGAUAUUCAUACCCGCAAAUUUGCGGGUAACCUGCGAACACCCGCAGGUAUGAGUUGAGAUUGCCAGGUCUAGCUGCUAGUACCCCGUUAAGUCAUUUCGGAUUAAAUCCGGAUUAAAUUCCUAUCGGGGUUAAAACGAAGUCAAAAUAUAUUUUUUGCCCCUAAUUUAAAAGGAAAGAAGAAAAGUUGGUGACAGUAAAAGAGUAUAUCUGAAAGGACAAAAUAGUAAUUUCACACAGAUAACGGCCGUUACAAAUAGUUUACUAUCAUAAUUUAAUUCUAAAAAUACAUUUGAAAUAACUUAGAACGUUAAAAAAGUAUUUUUCAUAUUAACCUUCUAAGGAAGGUAAAUUAAAAAGUUCGGAACUUUUUAAAAAUAUAUAAGUAAUUAUUCUUUUCAUUUAUAUGCUUAUAUAUAUAUAUAUUGAACAAUAAAGGAAAUAGUAAAAUAUAUGAAAGUGACAUGGUUUAAAUAAAUUAAUGUUGUGUUUUACUUACAGGUGGUUAUGUACCCAUAAUUAACAGUUGGUUUUAUCCAUAGAUUUCAUUAUUUAAUUAUUUGCCAAAAUUAGAAGAAUUAGUUUGGUGGUUGAGGAAUUUUUCCACCCCUAUUUUAAGACCUGGUUAGGGAAUUUUAAAACAAAGCUAAGUAAAAGUUCUCCCAAAUAAGAUAUUUUUUUUUUGUCUUGUUCCCAAUAUUAGAAGCUUGUUCCUAACCCCCACAGGUAUGUUUUUAAUAUUUUUAAAGCAUAAAUGGUAAUAACAUUACUGGUUGGUAAGUGUAACUGUUGAGGAGCACUUUGGCCUCUCUUUGGGGCCACACACUUUUUGAAUGAGCUCCUACACACUUCUCGUGCUCUCAGAAACCUGCCACUCUGAGGAAUUUCACUCCUGUUCGGUAUUUACUAGAGCUUCUGCAGAAAUACUUUUACGAAUAGAAUUAUUAGAAAAAAAACAUUACACGUAUAUUUUAAUAUUUUAUUUGCCGAACAUCGGGUAUAUGGUUCUGUUCUUAUCUGUGUAAGUACGUAGGAGAAGAAAAAAAAAAAAAAAAAGGCAAAAAGAUGUAUAUGUAGAACAAUAGAAAUGCAGUAAUAAAACUUAUCGUGAAUACAUAAUUAUUUUGUUCGCCAAACGUCUAACUACUACUUUUUAUAAUAAAAUCAGCUUCAUAUCCGCUACAGAAAACCGGUGGGAGCGAGAGCGUACGCAUGCAUGCGUGCGUGUGGUUUCUAUAUAUAGAAUGAAUGGAAAUGGCGAAAGAAGGAGAGAGAAUCGAGGAGUCGAACAUAAUAUAGCUUACACAUUCUUUUGAACUUCUCCUUGAGCUCGGUGAGAUGCUCGCUUUUCGUGAUGCGGAAGUAGUAGUCGGGGUAGUCGGCCUGGUACACGCAGUUGGCCGGCGUGGCCGUCCCGAUCGCCAGCACCGUCGCCGGCCCCUCCGCCCUCUGCGCCCUCCGUAUCUCCUCCACCCUCGCCAUCGCCAUCGCCCUCGCUACUCUAUCCCCUCCUCUCCUUCCUCCUAUUAUUUCUUUCAAUCUCUGAAUUAAUAAGCGGCUUUUUAAAAAGAGAGAGAACGCAGGAGGAGGAGGAGGAGGAGAAGAGGGGCAGAGGGAGCGGCAUUAAAUAGAGGAAGGGUAGUUCCAACGGAGGGGUGGAUGGGGUGCCACGCGGCAAUGCAUAUAGGAAGGGUAGGUCGAAUGUACGGAUGGAUGGGGUGCCACGUGGGCUUCGGGGCCGUUGGGCCCAAGUCGAGGUAGAUGUCUCACCACGUGGCUUAUUUAUUUAUUUAUUUAUUUUGGACGGGUUCGGGGGGAGAGGAGAGGGUUAGUUGGAGGAGAAGGGCUCGUGAGUGCGUGCUCGAAGAAGAAGAAGAGGAAACACAAAAAAAAAAGAAAAAAAAAGAAAAAAAAGAAAAAAAGAAAGGAGUAUUAUUGCAUGCGCCAUGGAUGCACGUACGCGCCAUGCACCACAUCUAGUUUUCUUUAAACAUUAUAAACAAGAGUUCACACAGUGCAGUUGUUGUAGUUGAAACUGUACGAAAAAGUUCAGUAACUGUAAUUAAAACUACACGCAAAUUUCUUGUAUUUUCAAUUGUGAUCGUUCGUAAAGAAUUGACGGCUGCAGCAGUUACGACGGUAUGGAAUCAAGCAAAAAAAGAUGUGGUCGAUCGUAACUUAUAAUUAAUUUAUUCAAUCUUAACUACGUGCUUUUCUAAUUACGCUAUAUUUGCUAAUUAAUUUACAAUAAAAAGGUUAUGCUAUGGUUAAAAUUUAUACAUCUUAAUUAAGUGCACUAAAAGGCAUUGUGAUGUGACAUUAAUUAAGUCAUUAAUUUGAUUUGCAUCACCUGAUGAUGGCUCUGACUUCAGGAUUUGGGAACUUUGUUUAUUUUACCGGGCUUGAUUUAAUCAUCUUACAUAAUUAAUUUAAACAAAAUAUAUCAAUUAAAAGCAAGCGAUAAUCCAAAUUUUAUAGUUGUUUACGAUGUAAUUUCACAUUAGAGAAUAUUAAUCAUACAUUUAAUUUGAUAAGAUUCAGUACGUCGUUAAUCGAAUUCAAUAUUAAAAAUUAUAGAUUUCAGAAAUUACUAUACUUUCUAGUAAUUAAUUAAUCAACUAGUGCGAACGAAAAUAUACAGCGUGAAAAUAUCUUUAUAUUAUGAUUUAAAAAAUAUGGAUUUUUAAGAUGUUAUAAGUCGGAUCAAAUUAAGUUCUACUUCAAAACAUUUAUGAUCCUAUUUUGAUGGACCAACUUCCAUGCAAUUAUUAUUAAUUGAAAUUUCAAAAAAGUAUAAAAAAAAAAAAUGUUGAUGCAGUUGGGUUGGAUCCAACUAUCUAUGUAGUUGUCAUUUGAAUGGUAGAUGCAUUUUAGUGGUUAGUGCUAAUUAAUGAAAUAUUGCUAAACUUGGUCACACAACUGAUAUUAAUCUGAGCCGUCCCAUGUGCAUCGAGAUUCGUGCACGCGAUACUAUGGCCAAAGUACUUUUUGUAGGUUCAGGACUAUUCAGCGUAAUGGUACAAAAACCACUUUUUGUGGUUGGGUCCGUUCAAUUCAUGAUCCGAUACCUGCUUAAGUGAUUAUAAUUAAUCAAAUCAGAUGGAUAAUGACGCGAUCAAAUUAUUCUAACUAUCAAAAUCAAUUUCCGUAUAUUUUGAAAAUAUUGGUUCUCGCUAUGGUUUUGGUAUUAACAUCUAAUUAAAGCUGCAAAACUCUACGACUUUUUAAAAAAUAAAUUAUGUAUAUUUUUUGAGGGGAAAAAAAAUGUUUAUACACUUAUAUAUAUUAGAUAAUAUAUAAUACACUGAUUACAAAUAACAAUAUUGUACUAGAAAAAUGAAAAACACAGCUGGUUAAUUACAUUUUGGCCCCCAACCUUUACACAAUUUUUCACUUGAGUUUCCAAUCUUUUUUUUUUUUUUUUUUUGCAAUCAAGUUCUCAAUCUUUUGAUUUUAAUGUAAUUACGUCACAUCCAUUAAAAAUGAGAUUAAAAUUAAUGGAAUCGGCAUGUCAGCGCCUACGUAGCAUUCUUUUGUGUGUCAAUUUUGGUUCCUAAACUUUUCCACGUUUUUCACUUUAGUUCCAAAAAAAAAAAAAAUCAAAAUUUUAAAUUUAAAAUUAAAAUUAAAAUUAAAAUUAAAAUUAAAAAAUAAUAAAAAAAUAGAAUUUUGAAUUUGAAUUUAAAGCUAUAAUUUUGAUUUAAAGCUUAAUUGAAAUUUUGAAUUAAAAUUCAAUUUGAAUCGAAAUUUUGAAUUCAAACUUAAAUUUUUUAUUUUGAUUUUGAUAUUUGAAUUUUCAUUUAAAAUCAAAAUUUUGAAAUUAAAUUUAAAUUUAAAAUCUAAAUUUAAAUUUAAAUCAAAUCAAAAAUUUUGAUUUUAAAUUUUAAAUUCGAAUUCAGAAUUUAAAUUUGAUUUUGAGAUUUGAUUUCAAUUCUAAAUUUGAUUUUAAACUUCGAAUUCAAAUUCACAUUUUCAAUUUAAAAUUUCAAGUCAAAGUUUGAAAUUAAAUUAGAAUUAGAAAUCAAAAUGUGAUUUUGAAUUUAAAAUGAAAUACAAAAUCAAAAUUUGAAUUCAAACUUAAAUUUAAAUCUUAAAUAAAAAAAUUAUUUCGAAUUUAUAAUUUAAUUCAAAAUAUAAUUUAAAUUUUAAUAUUUAAUUUAUAAUAUAAAAUUUAAAUUAAAUUGUAUAUUUAAAUUAAAUUUAAAUAUAAUUGGUUGGUGAUGACAUUGUGCCUUCGUGGAGCUUACAUGGUGGUGACGUAGAUUUUCCAUCAAUUUGAAUUACCAUUCCGACGGCUACGAUUUAAUUGUAAUGAAAUCAAGAGGUUGGAGGUUUUUUUGUAAAAGACAAAGGUUGGGGACUAAAGUGAAAAAAUGUGUAAAUGUUGUGGACCAAUGGGUGUAAUUAACCCAACCAAGAAUGAUAUUAGACAGAGAGGAUUGAAAUUGAAAUAGUAAAAAAAAAAAAAAAAGAAGGGCCGUGACCCUGUGGUCCUUAAAUUUUAGUUCUUUAUAACUUUUGGUUCAAAUUUUAUAAAUUAUUGCAAUUAAAUCUUACAGCCCAAUACUGGUAUGAUAAUGAUAUAGUAUCGUAAUUAUUGUUGCAUCAACAAUAUUCAUAUAACUGUGAUACUAUUAUAUUCCUUUUACAUUAGUAAUAAUAUAUCAAUAUUAAGUCAACUAAAUUUAAUUGUGGGAUUUAAUUAUAAUAAUUUAGAAAGUUUGAGCUAAAAAUUAUAAAGAAUUAAAAUUUAAGAACCACAGUGUGACGCGUCUUAUACUUUGAGUACCAAAAGUGUAAUUUAUGCAAAUAAAUAUGAUGAUCAUUAUAUGAUAAAAAUUAAACGAAAUGACUUUUUAAUGGUUGGUAAUUAAUUUGCGGUUUACGGGUGUCCAAGCGUGCAAUAUAUCAAUGUCACAAUAUUUCAUACGGAAUUACAGCAAAGGGUUAGAAAAAUAGAGAAUUUCAUUUGAUUUGACUUGAGAAUAGUAGUUCUCAGAAUUACAGCAAAGGAUAGGAAUAGGCCCUUAUCCCCCUCUUUAUAUCUAAAUGCUAAUUUUUUAUCUGAGAAUAGUAGUUCUCGGUUAUCUCCACCAACACCUCCAUUUUCUAUAUAAAACUAUUUAAAAUUGUUCUUAUCCCCGGGAACAAUCCAACUUUCAUCCAAACAUUAUUUUUCUUAUCCCCAUACUUGUACCUAUCCCUAUAAUAGUUAGUUCUUGCUUAUACCCGAACCAAACGGUAUAGAAUUGGGCUGGAAUACUGUGAAUAGUAUUUAUACUUUUUUACUAUCGAGUUUUUAAUUCUUGGAUAAAAAAUUACAGGAUUAAAAUGAUAGUGGUUCCCUAGGAUUUAGUGGUAGUCACCCUAGAGUUGAGUUGUGAUCCCCUUUGAGUUGAGUGGAUGGUAGGUUGAAUCGUUUAAUCUAAAGGAUAAAAUUGACUAAAAUGUAGAUCUAGCAGUUAAAAAAUGGAUAGCAAAAGAGCCCUAAUACUCGGGGUGUAAACGAGCCGAACACGAGCGAGCUGGGGUCAGCUCGUGUUCGGCGAGAUGGCUCGUUAAAGUAUCGAGCCGAAACAUUCACCUCGUGUUUGGCUCGUUUAUUAACGAGCCGAACACGAGCUAGCUCACGAGCUGCCCAACGAAUAAUAAAUUAAAAUGAUUAGUAUAAAUUUAUAUACAAAAUAAAUUUAUCCAAUAUUAUCCAUUAGACUUUGAUCUUUUGAAACUUUACAUAUAAAUGAGUCUUUUUUAUAUUAGAUUUAAUUAUAUAUUUUAUUUUGCUAAAAUUUAAAUAAUAAAAUAUAUAUUAUAUAUAAUUAUUUAUUUUAUAUAUAAAAAUAUAAAUUAAAUAAAUUGAAUUAAAUAUAAAAUUAUGUAUUCGAGCUGUUUUGAGCGUGAACACGAGAGCAAGCUGACCCCAGCUCGUGUUUGACUCGUUAUUAAACGAGCUGAAAAUUCAGCACGUGUUCGCUCAUUUAUAAACGAGCGAGCCGAUCUCGAGCUCAUUUCGAAUUCUUGAUCACUGUUUUUUAUGAGAUUUUUAUAUUUUCAGCCGUUCAUUUUUAGACUACUCGUUUGAUAGAUAAAUAAUGUCGAAAAAUUAUGAAAUAUAGUUCAAAUACUUUUAUAGUGAGAUCAAGUCUAACGCACCGCGAUCGUCGAUUGAAAGCCUGCAUAAUUGAAAACAACUUGAUAGCACGGAGGCCUCCGUGCUACCGAUAGUAUACCAGCCUAGCCGCUAUAUAUAUAUAUAUAUAUAUAUACUAUAUAUAUAUAUAUAUAUAUAUAUUUAUAUAUAUAUUAUAUAAUAUGAAGAAACACUGUUUGAAAGAUGCCCAACUUGUAUUAAAAAAAUUUAUUGAUUUUGCAUUUUGUAAUAAUAAAUUAUUUUUUUCUCUGCUCUCUGUUUUCCUCCUCGUCGCUGUUCUUUCAUUUCUUUCUCCUCCUGCGUUCUCUUCAUUCUCGUCAUCCUCCAUCACUCCCAAAUCAACGCCGUGCUUCUCUCUUCUAUUUCACCUAUAACUCCACCGGCAUUGCUAACUUACAUCCUACCAACCAUCAAACUCAUUUCGCAGUUCGAAUUAAUUUUAGAAAAAACUUCAAAUACCAUUCCUGUAGUUUCACACUUUCUCACUUUAGUACCAUGUGGUUUAAAGUGUAUCAAUUUAGUGCUAUGUGGUUUUAUUUUUAUCUUUUUGUCAGCUUUUUCAUUAGUAUUUCGUUAAAUUAUAUACAAAACACUUCAGAUACUCUAUCUAGAUUCAUUGAGUAUUCACUUUAGUACCCCCUAGUUUUAACUUUGUUACUAAUUUAACGAAAAAAUUUAGUAGAAUCGAUAAUAAAAAGAUAAAAAUGAAAUCAUAUGGCACUAAAUUAAUACAUUUUAAACCACAAGGUACCAAAAUAAAAAAGUGUGAAAUCCCAGGAACGAAGUUUGAAGUUUUUUCUAAAAUUAAUUCGAACUGCGAAAUUAGUUUAAUGGUUGGCAGGAUGUAAUUUAGCAUUGUUCAAAUAUAAAUAUGUCAAUCUCACAAUAGUUCGUAGAAAAUUAAUUACACCAAAGAAUUAGAAAAAUACACGAAAUAUAUUUAAUGUUGAUUUGACUUGCCAUUACAUAUAUUUGAUUGAAAACACUUAGUUUGAAUAUUUGCUAUACCAUCGCUGUGUAGCUCAGUUGGUAGAUAUUUUCGUACUAUUUUUUUAUUUAAAUUCUGACUAUGGCAAGAAUAUGAGUAUGAAUAUAGGCAUACAAGUAUCUUCAAAAAAUAUAUAUAUAUAAAAAAAAAUUACUUUUAUACAGAUUUUCACGUAAUAAAUUACAAAUAUAUUUCUAUAAAGUUUAAUUUUUAUGUAUUAUUUUUAUAAAAAUUCUGAUAUUUUAAAAUAUGUCCUUGUAUGAUCUGUUAGAAAAAAUUAAUUAACUAUAAGUAAAAUACUUAACCCUACUUAGUUAGUGAGGUGAAUUGACAUUUUUAUCCCUCUUUAAUUAAUAGUUAGGACUUUUGAAGGAACAUAUUUGUGAUUGCAAAAAAAGAUCAUUUCAUUUAUAAAAUAAACAGUGUUUUAAGAGUAACAAAUCAGAGGAAUAUAUUUGAAAAUAUUAGGACUUUGACAGAAAAAAUAUAUAAAAGUUGAGUAUAGACUCUUAUGAGUAUAAACUCUUUUGUAUUCAUAAGUUUUUGAUCGUUAGAUCUACUCUUUUGACCAUUUCCACCCACUAGAUCAUAUAUUCAAUCAACCACCCAUUCAAUAUUAGAGGGACCGGUAUCAUCCUAGCCACACAUCCCUUCAUCCAAUGACUAAAGAUUAAUUUAUGAGUAUAAAAGGGUCUAAACUCCUAGAGUAUAGUAGCUUUAGCCUAUAUAAAAAAAUGUCAUCAGGUGCCUGGCCGCUACAGAAAAGAUCAAAAAAUAGAAAAGAGAAAAAAAACACUAUUUUAGGCUAAAUUGUACAAUUUAAAAUUAUUUAAAACUAAAUUUCACUAUAAAAAAAUAAAAUUUAUAUUGUCUAAAACUAAAUUGCACUAUUUGAAAUGGAGUUUAUGGAACAAGGUGCCCCCAUCUCAUAGUUUGAAAACCAAACGUGUAAUUUAUCCAAAUAAAUAUGACGAUCAUUACAUGAUUAAAAUUAAGGGUAAACUUCAAAUACCACUCAUGUGGUUUCGCACUCUGUCACUUUUGUGCCCCGUGGUUUAAAACAUAUCAUGUUAGUGUCCUGUGGUUUCAUUUUUUUCUUUUCAUCAGCUUUUUCGUUAGUAUAUCGUUAAAUUAUAUAUAAAAUACUUCUGAUACUCUAUUUAGGUUUAUCGAAUAUUCACUUUAGUACCCUUUAGUCUUAACUUUGUCACUGAUUUAACAAAAAAAAAAAUAAUGGAAUCGAUAAUAAAAAGAUAAAAAUAAAACCACAGGGCACUAAAUUGAUAAACAUUAAACUACAAGGUACUAAAGUGAAAAAGUGUAAAAUCACAGAAGUGGUAUUUGAAGUUCUUUCUAAAAUUAAUUCGAACUGCCAAAUGAGUUUGAUGGUUGGUAGGAUGUAAUCUAGCAGUGUCCAAAUGUAAAAUAUGUCAAUCUCACAUUGAUAGUUCUUACAAAAUUAAUUACACCCAAGAAUUAGAAAAUAUACAAAAUAUAUUUAAUGUUCAUUUGACUUGCCAUUACAUAUAAUAUUUGAGAGAAAAUAUUUAGGGCAUGUUUGGUUCGAAGUCGGAGUAGGAAUCGAAAUCGGAAUCAAAAUAAGCUGGAAUUGGAAUCGGAAUGACUCAUUAUCUAAUUCCGUUUGGUUCAUCACCUAAAUCGGAAUCGGAAUAAACCAUUCCCAUUGUUGGUGUUUGGUUCAAGUGGAUAUAAAAAACGUAAUCAAAUUAAUAUGCUAACAUUAUCUUUAUAAUAUAUUAAUUUAAAUUCAAAUUAAAAAUUAAAUAUUAAAAAUUUAUAUCAAAAUUUUUAAAUAAUGUCAAAAUUUUAAGUCUAUUCUUUUAAAAUAAAUUAAUCUUUGAAGUUUAGUGGAUAAUUCAAAAUAUGAAACUAAAUUUUUAUUUAUUUAAAUUGAAACUUAAAAUUAUAAUUUAAAUUUUGAUUUGAAUCCAUAAAUUUAAUUUAAGUUUGAAAUAAAAUUUGAAUAAACUUUAUAUAAAUUAAAAUUUAAUUUAAAUUCAAAUUCAUAAAUUAGAUUCGAAAUACUUGAUUAAAUUUUAAUUUUUAAUUUAAGUUCAAAUUAAAAUUUAAAAUUAUAUAUUUAAUUUUUAAAUUUUAACUCAUAUUUUAAUUAAAAAAGUUGAAAAAAUAAAUUUAAUUCUAAUAAAUAUCCAUUCCGUCCGGAUUCAACUUCCAAUCGAGCCUCCUAGGCCGGAUUGAAAAAAGGGGUGAUUAGGGAAUUCCCAUUUCACUCGGGAAUCGGAAUCGGAAUGGAACUCCCGCGUACCAAACACCCACAAACGGAUUCACCCAUUCUUAUUUCCAUUCCAUAGUGAAAAAAAAGCGAACCAAACACGCCCUUAAUUUGAAUGUUUGCUAUAUCACCGCUGUGUAGCUCAGUUUGUAGAUAUUUUCGUCGUAUUUUUUUAUUUAAAUUUUGACUAUUGCAAGAAUAUGAGUACGAAUAUAGGUAUACAAGUAUCUUCAAAAAAUAUAUAUAUAAAAAAGAAUUACUUUAUACAGAUUCUUACAAACAUAAUAAAUUAUAAAUAUAUUUCUACAAAGUUCAACUUUUAUGUAUUGUUUUUACAGAAAUCCUAAUAUUUUCAAAUAUGCCCCUGCCGUUAUGAUCUGUUAGAAAAAAUUAGUUAACUAUAAAUAAAAUAUUUAACCCUACUUAGUUAAUGAGGUGAAUUGACCUUUUUACCCCUCUUUAAUUAAUAGUUAGGACUUUUGAAGGGAUAUAUUUGUGAUGGUAAAAAAAGAUCAUUUCACUUAUAAAAUAAAUAGUAUUUUAACGGUAACAAAUUAUUUCACUUUUAUCGAAUAUAUAUUCGAAGUACAAAUUCAAAUUUAAAUUUUCCUAAUUUAAAAGUGUAGUAUUCCUGAUUUUUGGGUUGCUUGUGGAUCUCAACAUCUGAGGCUUGGCGACACAUCUAGAGAGUGUCGAGACAAAUCGGAAUCGUUUUGGCGUGAAAUGGAUGCAAAACGAACUCAGCGCGACGCGAGAGCAGAGUUUGACAUUGAAAUCUGUAAAGUGCAGGUUUUCAGUAUUGAGUACCGGUACCAUGUAGGGGAGUACCGGUACCCCAGUGUAUUCUUCGAACUGCUGCUCUCGGGUUGCGAUAAUUGAUGCUUAGUACCGGUACGACAUCGAGCUGGUACCAGUACUCCAGCUGGGAUGUUGAGUUGGUGAGGGGUAGAAUGGUCCUUUUUUGGUUAGUGGAUAUGUACGCUACCUAUUCCCUCUUUAUGUUUAUCAACUCAACUUGGUUAGCUGAUCUUGGAUAAUUAUCCUUUUCCCCCCUCUCUCUAGUUUUGAUUGUGUGCUUGGUGGAGGCCACGGCUUGAGCUUGGAUCGACGUCGAUGUUGCACCGGGGAGCCGUUCGAGGGCGUGGAUGUCGCGGUUGCGCCGUUGGAGGCCGGGCGAGCGCGUGUUUUCCCUUCUCUUGACUUCUCGCUGUAGUUGGGCUAGCUUUUCGAGGUGAGUUGAAGUUUACCGAAAUCGCCGGAACAUCUCCUAAGUUUUUAUAUCGUCAACAUGUAUCAUGUUUUUAAUUUCUUGCUAGUAUUCGAAUUCAUGAAUUAGGCUUAAAAUCUGAAUUUGGAGUUAAGUAGUAGUAGUAUAAUUUUAUAUGUUGGACUUGAAAUUGACUUAGGAGAAAACUGUAGAUCCUACAAUGUCAGUUUAUGAAAACUACCAGAUUUAGCUUUAGGAGCUGUGGUUUGUUGUAUUACCGCAGUUUGUAUGCGGUAGAUACCCAGCUUAGUGUAGGAUGGGUUUACGCUCGUGCUAGGAUACCGGGUUUAUUUUACAGUAGUGUGUAGACUAUUUCGGACUGUUGGGUGUCGUCGCAGUUAACGGUGGGCCCGGAUUUCUGUAUUUGCAUCAAAUUGUGUCAAGGGCACGUAAGCUUUGGUUGUUAGACCCAUUUGCUUUGAUUAUAGCCUGUGAGAGAUUGAUUGAGCUCAGUAGAGACACGCUUGCAUACUCGAUUGGAUAAAGCCUAUGAGUGCCACUCCGAAGUUGGGCUUUGUGCUUUAGCGUUGUUGUCGCAGCAGUCCUGUUUGGACGGUGCUUUAGGACUGGCCACCUCAAUAAUUGUCACGCCUUGAGAACCGGCAUAGGCCUGCCCGGUGCGUGCUCAGACCCGCCAUAUGCCUGCACAUAUAAGGCGUCUACAACAAUAGCGAAUAAAAGAAUAAUAAAUAGAGAAUAUCUAGAGAUAUUAGUGCAAAUAUAUAGCUAGGUUCUAUUAACCAGUAGAAACCACAGAAGCUAGACUGCUAAAGUAAAAUGUAAAGUAGUACAUCAUAAGUCUCAAAAUACAAAUAGUGGGUGGUCUCUAUAAAAUGAUACAAGUCUCUCAACCUCUCUAAAAGAAACAAAAGAGCUGUAGACCACCGAUCAACCAAUCCCUUGCUAGCUAACUCGAGGCGAUUCAUUUCCCGCGAUCCCGAGCCUCUCCCGGAGUGGAAGACUCUGAAAGAUAACAAAAAUAAUGGGGCGUGAGAACUAUAAUUUAUAGUUCCCAGUGGGCAAUUACUGACCUUAGCAAAAUGCACCACUAGGCCCAAAUCAAGAGCAGAUAUAGAUAACGAAAUAACAACUGCGAAAAUAUAUGCAUAUAUUGAAAUGCUAUUCUACUAUGCCACAAGUAUACAUGAUAUGAACGUGGAGUACAUCUACUCUAUCAUGAAUCUAAUAUGCCGAUGCAUAACAGGUAUGCCCUACCAUGGCUACCCAAAAGCUGUGAUGCAACAAGUAAUACUACGAAGUAUACUAUCGUGGCAAUUAAGGAUACCACAAUUCCCAAUGUCAACAGAAUCCAACCACGAUAUACAAUCAAAUAGUGUUUAUCACUUAUUGUUUACAGUUCUAGUCAAUGUCCACAUAGUACUUUAACUAUUUAAAGUUCAACUCUGAUAAGACCCACCCGAAGGCUGUCUGGUAUGAGACCCACCCGAAGGCUGUCUGGUGUGAGACCCACCCGAAGGCUGUUUGGUAUGAGACCCACUCGAAGGCUGUUUGGUAUAAGACCCACUCGAAGGCUAUCUGGUGUGAGACCCACCCGAUUGCUGUCUGGUAUAAGACCCACCCGAAGGCUGUCUGAAGUAUCAAAUCCUCAUGUCUAAAAUAUGGAAUUACUCACUAGCAACCCAUAGGUCUAGUCUAUGCCUCAAGUGAAGGUUUACUAUGUCAAUGAUUCCAAUGUCCUAUGUGACCUUAGAUUUACUAAGUCCAUACGUACUCCAAGCCUAAUGCCUCUUUAUGGCAUUAGCUUACUACCCAAAUUCCAAGCCCAAUGUCUCUUUAUGACAUUAGCUUACUAUGUUCAUACAUGUCCCAAGCUCAAUGUCGCUUUAUGACAUUAGCUUAAUAUACCAAUAAUAGAUUAAUACGCAUGCUCUCUAGCAUGAUCUCACAUUGCUAAUAUGUAUCUAGCAUGUAUUUCUCAAUACAUAUAAAUAUUAAUAUGCAUUUAUCCACUAGCAUAUGGUUUCAAAGCGUCCGUAUGCAACUAUCAACUUAGCAUAGUUUUCAUAAUGCUACAUGCAUAAACUCUACAAUGCAAGUACCAACUUAGCAUAAUUCUCAUAAUAUUAACAUGCAUAUGCAAUUCACAUAUCAUUCAAGUCUAAUGUCUCUUUAAGGUAUUACUUUGCUAGGCUCAUUCAUAGCUUAAGCCCGAUGUCGCAUUACGAUAUUAGCUCCCUAACUCACAUGUUAUUCAAAUCUAAAGCCACUUUAUGGCCUAACGCAUUCUCCUGUGUCCAAUGAGAUUUAUGUUCAAGAUAUAUUACAUUUGUCAUGUCUACUAUAUGAAGCAUGAUUCCAAGUCCCAAUUAGAAUGCUAAACCCAUGCAUAAGUCUCACUUGCAAGCUCUCUACUACAUAGAGGUCCGAAAAUGCAUUGUAUAUAACAUAAGCAUUUCAAGCAUUCUAAAAUUCACAAAUAAUGCGUCUAUCAUGAAAAUACGUGAUUUUUCAUUUUACGAUACUUAAAUCCACAUAAAUGAGAUUUUCUCAUUUGUAGCAAGGUCAAACCCACCGAGCGCUCCACGCGAUCCUUCGUGCCCACGACUCUCUUAGCUCCAAGACUUUAGGUGAUGUCACGAUGCUACAAUUCCGGUUUCGUGAUUUUUGGAAGCUUACGCCGCGAGCUGCGACAAUCUGUACCGAAAUCGGCCUUUUCUUCAAUAUCUUCGCGUAGCCUCGUCGUAUCGCCGAACCGACUUCGCCAGCGCAUUCGUAUACCUAACAAUUAGGUUCGCAUAGGUUCAAUUUAGAUUAAACCUCUACAUAUUGCAAAACCCCAAUUUGAGCCUUAACAUGCUACUAUUGCAAGAAAUCACCAAAUUGGAACUUGAUUCAUGCAAUUAACAUGUUAUUAGCAUCUAGGGAGUUCUCUAAACCCAUUCCUAGAUCAUACGAAUCAUUCCUUAGCAAUCUACCAUAGUUACUACCAAAGCUUACCUCCAAAGCUUUCUCUAAUAGAGAGGAAGAAGAUGAAAGCUUGAGCUCCAAGCUACUCUCCAACUUUCAAGGAUUCUACUCCAACUUCUUCUCCAAUUAAUCCUCUUUUGUGGAGAGAUUAGAAGAGAAAAGGGGUGAGGGGUGAGAACUAGAGAGAAAGAGAGAAAAAGAGAAAAGAAACUUGCUCUCCAAGCUUCUCUCGGGUUGGACACAAAUGAGAAAAAAGAGUGCAAGUUCACAUAUAUAUACUCCCAAAACACUAUUCACAUCAGUUUGUAACUCCGGUACAGAUAUUUUUCGUCUACCCUUCUAAACGUCCGAUUGAGCUCAAAUUUGGCAGUCAUGAUCAAUUUUACCUAACUUAAUGAAAGAAAUUUUAAUCUUUCAGUUUCGACCCCGUUUGGUCACCGAAAACUAUUUCGAACAGUAAUCUCAAGCAGAUAGCAAUCGGAUUUUAUUCUCCACCUUCCGGGUGUCAGAAUGACAUGAAACUUUAAAUCUAGCCUCAUAAAAAUAAUCCUAACAUAUUCCCAAAUUUUCGGAAUUUUUUGACACUGUGUAUUUUCUGUUAAAAUAUCAGCCCCGUCUCUCACAGAAAAUUCUCAAUCUUCUAUUUUCACUCCGAUUUCCGCACGAGUCAAUCCUGACGUAUAAUUUACUUGUCUAAAUGCAAUAAAAAUAGUAUCUCACACUAUUUUUAUUUAUAUUCACUUUUAUUAAAAAAAAUCCGGUAUGCUACAACGAUGGUGUGCGGUAUAGCUCGGACGCAAGCGGGACGGGCCUGUUGGCAAUCCCUUGACAGUAUAGUCAUUGUUGCAGGGGAUGCAUAUCUACAGAUAUCUAGAGUUUGUUAGUGAUAGUAUAGGGGCAUAUAACUGUAGGGUUUUCAGCUUUCCUUACUAUUUCUUGCAUACCAUUCUGUAGACUUAAUGGAUGAGCCGUUAAAGUCGGUAGCAAUACCCAUCGAGGACUACUUCUUUUUACAGUAAUUCUCACACCCAGUUGUUAACCCCUUUUUGCAGAACGUUCUUUUGCGGCUGCUGCUGUCGCCGAUUCUGAUCGAGGAAAGGGAGUCGCGAACUAGAUUUCUUCCCUGGUUACAGUGCUAGAGGAGUACUUUCCACAUGUAGUUUUGGGGUUUUUAUGUACAUAUGGUUGUUGUCUGGGUACUUGCUGGAGCGAAUGGUGUAGUAGACAUUUUGUAUGUACUGGAACUCUCGAGAUUUCUUUAUAUAUCAUAUAUAGGUAUAUAUAUAUGGGUGGAGUAUAUGCUGGUAUAUUAUAUAUAUAUUAAUAGUAUAUAUAUAAGUCUUAUAUUAUUAUAUAAUAUAUAUAUUAAGUGUUUUCAUUUAGUCAAUCCAAGCUCAUCUACUUGUGGAUUGGUAACUUGAUUUAUUUACGGAGGUGAGGAAUUUAUCGUCAUUCGAUACAGAAAAUUUCUAUGUAUACGAUAAGUCUAGUUGGCAGUCGGAAAACGUGAAUAAUCCGGGCGUGACAAAACGGUCUGCCGUAUAUUUACAAUUUUUUAUCCUAUAAAUGGAACGUCAUAAUUUAUUUGGAUAAAUUACGUUUGGUUUCAAACUAUUUGAGAUGCGGGGACACUUGGUCCUUUCAAGCUUCAUUGUGAUUCAAAUUCAAAAUCCAGAAUUGUAGUUUUAAAACAAUAUAAAUUUUUAUUUUUUAUACGUGCAGAUUUAGUUUUUAAAUAUUUUAAAUUGUAGCAAUUUAGUCUAAUAACAGUGUUUACUUUUUUUUUUCUUCUAUUUUUUGAUCUUUUUAUGUGGACGGCCAAAGAGCACUGAUGAAUUCCUUUAUAUAGGCUAGGGAUACUAUAACUCUAGAGUAUAGACAUCUUUAAUACUCAUGAAAUUAAUUUUUUGGUCCAUUGGAUGAUUAAUAGUUUAUAUAUAUACUUAUAAUAGUUAUAUAUAUAUAGAAUAUAGUAUAUAGUAGAGCAGGGCUGGUGUGCUUCAAGGAGAGGCUCCGUGCUCCUGAGCCGUUUUCGAUGAUUGAAUUUUCGAAUCGACGAUCGGCUCCGUUAGACUUGAUCUAGCGCAUUUGAAGUUUCUAGAAAAUAAUUUUUGCAAUUUUUUGAUAUUAUUUACCUAGUGAUCGAAAGGAUUCAAAAUUCAUAAUUUUUAAAGGUUGAUAUCUGCCGUUUUCAAGUUUAACGGUAUAGAAGUAUUCAAAUCAGAUGAAAUUUUGAUAAAAAAUUCUUUAUACUAUCUACAACAAGAUCAAUAUUUCUGAUUGAAAAUUUUAGUGUUAUAUCACCACUUUUUAUAGGAUUUUUAUUUUCAGUCGUUAAAAAUUAUUGAUUUUGAAUCCUUUCGAUUGCUAGGUAAAUGAUAUCAAAAAACCGCAAAAAUUAUUUUCUACAAACUUCAAAUACACUAGAUCAAGCUUAACGGAGCCGAUCGUCGAUUCGGAAACUCCAUCAUCGAAAACGGCUCAGGAGCACGGAGGCCUCCGUGCUCCUGAGAGCACAGCAGUCCUACUCAUAUAUAGGAGGGCUACUGUGCUAUUAAUAGCACAGUAGCCCUCGUGCUCCUAAGUUUCUAACCAUACAACAAUUUUGAUGGGUGGUUAGGAUGAGAAAGAAGAGAAAUUGAGGAGAUAUUUAAAAAGUUGAGAAAUUGAGAAUCUUAAUUUCUCUCCAAUUUCUCUUCUUUCUCUUACCCUAACCACCCAUCAAAAUUGAUGGAUGGUUAAAAACUUAGGAGAACAAAGACUGCUGUGCUCCUAGUAGCAUAGUAGCCCUGCUCUCUCUCUCUCUAUAUAUAUAUAAUAUAUAGUUGGACUGGGCUACAAUUAGUAGCAAAAUCUCAUUGUUGCUACCAGUUUUUUAGCCUUUGGAUCAACUCUUUUCAUCAUUUCUAAUAAUUGGAUUAAAUACUAUAACCCUGUAGGGACCAUUCAACCCUAGGGGGACCACUCAACUCUAACUAACUAAUAUCAUCCUAACCCUACAAUUUUUUAUCCAAGGGUUAAAAACUUGAUAGUAAAAAAAGCGUUUUACUAUUAAUAGUAUUCCAGCCUAAUUCUAUAUAUAUCUAGGGCCUAUAGGCUAAAUUGAGAAAAGUAAAACACUAGUCAUUCACCUUCUUUUGGAUAUAUAUCAUACAUCUCGCCUAUUUUAUGAAUGAUAUUUUUUUUGCCAAUCAUAUCGAUGUGAUUAAUGAAAAAAUUUUAGUUAUUAAAUAGCUAGGUUGUAUAAUUUAUAUCCACUUUAAUGAUUUGCACUCACUUUGGAGUGUAUGGAUAGUAUUAUUCUAUUUGAUCGCUUUAAUUUUUAGAUAUUCACAACUAUUUGAUAAUGGUAAACACAAAACUCUAAACCCAAAUAUAACAACUUCUUAAGUAAAUCAAAAGGAUAUGUCGAACAAAAAGACAUGCAUCUGAACAGAAUUUGCUUGACAUAUGUCAAAUAGUAUAUUCUUCAUAAGUAAAAUAGAGGAAUAUACUGAAUAAAAAGUUUACACAUCUAAACAGAAUAGACCUACGCAAGAAAUAAGAUUCAGAAUAUGCGAGCGCAAGAAAUAAGCCGAAACGUCCUGCCUCCCAUAGGGUUGGAUCUGAGUCACAAUUGAGAACCAGUUUAACCAUCUACAUCGAAGCCUAUAAGACCUAGUCCAUUAUUAAAUGGGUCUUUUUUAACAUUAUAAUUAGUGGGCUUGAUUGGGCCAGAGAUGAGGGUCCAUUGGGCCCUGUAAUUACUAUUUUUAUGAGAGAGAUAGGUACCACGCUAACCGCUUCGUUUAUUUCAUUUAGAAAUAAAUUUAGCUGAAAAUGUGAAUCAACUGGGAUUCGAACUUGGGUCUCGAGUACCAACCACCAAACCCUUUGCCACUUGCUCUAGGGCCAUGUAAUUACUUAAAUGGAAUUUAUACCCUAUCAUGUAGGGUUGUCAACAGAGUCAAGUUGAACACGAGCAAGCUGCGGUCGGCUUGAGCCGGCUCGAAAAUAACUCAGGGCUGGCUUUUUGUAGGUUCAAAAUUAAAAUGAGUUGGGAUAAUUCAGUUCACUUUUGGGUUGAAAUUAUUUUGAGUUGGCUCGUUCGAAACUAUUUUGCGCUAGACUGAAUUAAAUUUUAAUAAAACAAUAAUAAUAACUAUUAUUAUUAUUAUUAUUUUAUAAUUGACACUUAUUUUUGCUAUUAGUAUUACUAAUUAGUUUUACUAAUUAACAUUAAAAUUUAAAAGUAAUACUAAUAAAAGAACAAAAACUUAAUAAUAAUGUUCAAAUUUGUCGCAGAUCAAUCUAAAAAUAAUAUUCAUAUAAAUUACUUUUUAUUUUCGAGCUAUAUCGAGCGAAAUAUGCCGGCCGUCUUUAUAGUAUGGGUUUCCAAGUAGGAAAAACUUAUAGACUAUAUAAGAAUAAAAAUAAUAACAAUAAUAACAAUAAUAAUAAUAAUAAUAAUAAUAAUAAUAAUAAUAUCAUAGAUAAUUAUCCUUUUAAUUAUUUUUAACAUUAUUUAUUAAUUUAAAAUUUUUAUUCUAACUAUACAAAUUAUAAAUCCUUAAAAUUUGGCAAAAAUCACUUUUUAAUCAUUUUACAUAGAAAAUCCACUAGUUUGUAAUUUUACAAAAUUUAGCCUUUUUUUAUUUUACACAUUUUGACGGAUUUUUUUAAAAAUGACCAAAAUACUCAUGUUCUCUCUCUUCUUACUCUUUUUCUCCUCCUACUUUCUCUCACUCCCGCCCCAAAAAUGUUUUGCCGUUAUUCUUGCUGGUUCUUCUUUUUUAACUUCUUUUUUUAUUCUUCAUAUAUUUUUAUUACUGCUAUAAAUAUAAUUUAUUAUUUUCAUAAUUUUAUUUUUUUAUUUAUUUCAUCUUCAUGCUUUUACUACAACAACUACUCUGAUUUUUUUCUCUGCCUCUUCUACUUUUAUUCUUUAAUUGUUUGUUUUAAUUUUCUCAUAUAUUAUUAGUAUAAUAUUUAAAUAAAUACAGAUGUAUCAAAAUUAUAAAUUUAAGCUCUAAUUUCCUACAAAUCAGAUAAUUAUUUGUUUACAGUUAAUUUUUAAAAUUAUUUAAUGCCGAGAUAAUAAAUUCUCUUAGAUGCAUACUUUUUAAUACAUGACUUUUUUUAUAAUUAAAGACUAAAAUUUUCGUUUAGAACACUAAUAAGCAAAUAUUAAACAUAGUGUGCUAAGUGUAGGGGUGUAAAAUGGGCCGAGCGGACGGCCGCGGGCGGGGCCAAGGCACAGCACGGAUACUGUAGAACCCGUGCCGGGCUAGCCCCCCUGGCAUUAUGGGCCGUGCUAGACCAUUACUGAAGGGCCCGUCGGCCUGGCACGGCACAGCCCAGGCAAGGCCGUGCCAGGGCGAUAGUCGCCUGGCAGUCGGGCACGGCACGGCACGGCACGGCCGGCAUGGACCUUGCCGGGACAGGACGGCCCGCCCUAGGGUCUUGGGGGAUUUGGCUCCCCAACUCACCAAGCAACAUCUUGGGAGUUGGGGAGGUAGAGAAAAAAGGGCCUAGAGCCUAGUCUACGUCUAGGCCCUUCUAGAGAGAUGAGCCCAUCUCUAAUUGAAUUUUCAAUUUUUUUAGAAAAAUUUUUUUAAGCAUUUCAAAGACUUCAUAAAAUUUAAAAUAAUUUUAAAAUUUUAUUACUUUAUGAGUUUUGUAAUUAUUUUUUAUUUUUUAUUUUUAGCUAUCGUGUUGGUGGAAAUAUGAAAGAAAACUAUUUUAUUGUUUUUAUUUCUUUAAUAUUUUAUAUUUUUUAAACAAAUUAAAAAUAUUAAAGGGCUGUCACAGAGCCCGGCACGGCACGUGCCGUCCGAGGCCGAGGGCAGUGCUGGGCUGGACGUCCAUCAAAUAUGGCCCGGCACGGCCCUGCCCGGAUUUCAUUCAGGCCGGGCCGGNACGGCCCUGCUCGGAUUUCAUUCAGGCCAGGCCGGGCCGACCCCCAUCCCAAUUUGGCCGAGGUGAGUGUGGGCCGUGCCCACGGCCCACAUUACACCCCUAGCUGAGUGUAUGUAUGUACUGCAAAAAAAUUUAUUAUUUUAAAAUAUUUUAUUUAGUAUUUAAAAUUAUUUUAAAAUAUGAUUAAUUUCAUACAUAUCCCAGUAAACAUAGUGAAUUGCAAACAUAUCCUUACAAAGUUUAACUUUCAUAUGUUAUCCCUACAAAAGUCCUAAUGUUUUCAAAUGUAUCUCUGCCGUUAGGACACGUUAGAAAAAAAAUAAUUAACCAUAAAUAAAAUAUUUAACUCUAGUUAGUUAAUGAAAUGAAUUAAUCUUUGUUUUUCCUCUUGAAUUAAGAGUUGAGAUUUUUGGAUGGACGUAUUUGUGAUGGCAAAAGAGUCGUAUCACUUAUAAAAUAAACAGUGCUUUAACGGUAGCAAACCAGAAGAACAUAUUUGAAAAUAUUAGAAUUUUGUAAAAAUAAUAUACGAAAGUUGAAUCUUGUAAAACUAUAUUUGUAAUUUACUAUAUUUACAGGUAUAAGUAUAAAAUUAACUCUUUAAAAGAGUUAUUACCCAAACACCAACGGUGUAUGAGAUGCAUUUGUACACCCGGUGCAGGCAAUAAUAACGUCUGUAAUUUCUCUCUCAUCCUUCCCUCCUUUUUCUUUCUUUUUUUUUUUUUCUCCAAUCCCGAGAGAAAGCUCUUAACUUUCCUCUUCUCUUUCUUGUUGGAAAAAAAAAUCCAAAUCCCUUCUCCUCCAAUAUUUUCUUUUUUUUUUAAGAAAAAUUUAGAAAAAAAUUAUGUGAGCAUUUUGUUUNAUGAGUUCGGAGAGCGUGGGAUCGUGCGGCGACGGCGAGGGAGGAAGAGGGGGAGGAGGAAAGAGGGAGGGGAAUUACGAAAAUGCCCCUGAGGAGAGGGGGAAAUCCCCACGCGGGUCCCGGGAGGCGGGGGAGGGGGGCCCCGGGCCGUCCGAUCGUCGGGCGGGGAUCGACGGCCGAGAUUUCCCGGAGGUGGCGUGCGCGUGCGGGCGCGGCACGUGCGCGGUGCUCGUGUCGCGGACGGAGCGCAACCCCGGGAGGCCCUUCUACCGCUGCCCCGCCAAAUCGGUAAUUUUGCGUUUUGGUCCCUCUCCUUUUUCUCCGAGGGGUUUUGUGUGAUUAAAUUUUUGUGGAAUUUUGAGUCGUUUUAACGGGGUCAUUUUUUUUGGGAAAAAAGAAAAUGCCCUUAAUUUAGGGUUUUUUCUAUUUGCUUCCGUUUUUUUUUUUUCGAAAAUAGUUUCUCUUGUAUUUUUUGGCAAUUUUUAGUUUUUUUUUUUUGUUUUAUUACAACUUACUCCACUUUAUUUAUUGUUAUUUUUUGUUUACUUUAUUUAGGGUUGUCUUUUUUUGGUUCCGGUGGGUUUGGGUUUUUUAGUUAAAUCAGUACUGGCGAGAAAAUAAUUUUGAUCUAAACUUCGGUCCAAGUUCAACUCAAAAGUCUGAACUGCAGUUCCAAAGUCACUGACUUUCGAAAAUACAUUUCACGCGAACUUUCUGAAAAUCAAUUACGGCCAAACAAGCAGGCCCCGAGGCUCGAUUUGGUGUUCCGAGGAGCAAGGUUUUAAGUGCCCGUCAGAAUGAGCCCUAUCUACCAUGUCGUAUCGUGGCAACAAAAUAUCGACAUGAUACGGAUCCCGUGUCCAUAGCACAGCUCAAAACUCUCUAUUCUAUAAAUUAGUAAAUAAUUUCUUCAAUAAAAUUUAAAAAAUUUGAUAAAAAGAUAUAAUAAAUAGUUAGAAUAUUUUGUUGCUUAAGAAAAUAAAUAUUUCAUAUUAUUAUGUGUCGGCAUACAAGAAUUUUUUUAACCGGCACGCAUCGGUACGGCUUGGCACGCACCGUAUCGUACUGUGCCUACAAGUUUCCGGCACAACCCCGUGUCACGGUACUUAAAUCCUUGCCGGGGAAAAUGCGUUACAUGCAGUACGAAAGUGCGGCCGAGUAAUGUUCCUUUUGUUUUUGCAUGGAAUUGGACGUUAUGUAGAUCGCGGCGAUUUGCCAAGAUAUGAUUUUUUACUACUUCAUAGAAUAUAUUUUAACUAUUUUUGCUUGAAUGCCUAAAAAGUUUGAUGUUUAGAUCUUAUUUUUUUUCACUGGAAGAAUUCUAUUCAUUGUUUGCUUAGUAAAUUUCUUCAUUUGUUUUGUAUAUAUUUUGUUGCAUUUAGUGUAUAAUUCCAUACAUGAUAUGAAAAAAAAAAAAAAAAAAGGUUAAUAGUAGCCACUUUGUACUUAGAAUUGUGUUAAGCAAAAUUGUAAUAUCCGAGAAUUUGUAUCUAUUUUCGCAAAUUUGUCGUGAAAAUAAACUGAUUUAGUGCAAAUUUAGCUCACCGCUCAAGUGACAACAAAUGCCGAUAUUGCUGUCAGUACUCGGUGAAUCUUUUAAGACAGACUGAAAUGUUUGAUUCGAAAAAAAUGAAGAUGGAGCAGAAUGUGUUGGCUUUAAUGAGCCAGCAUCCUACCUUGUGCAGGAGGUCAGGUUGGGCCAAGUCAUAUUAGAAAUGGCGUGAGGCUGGAUUGGGUCGAGUCAUGUUUGAAGUGGCGUGAGGUUGAUUUGGCCGAGUCACAAUCGAGACCCGUGGACUCCGUCUCUAUACACUUUAAGUUAAUUGGUUGCGUAUUUUUAACAGUUCGAGUUUUUAGAAUUAAUGAUUAGUACCAACGAUCCGACAGAAUGCUGGUGGAAAAAUUUAAGGUCAUGAAAGGGUUUUGCGUUGCGCGUGCCUAGGAGAAACAUAAUCUGAAUUUGGUGGUCACUCGACAACAAAUUUUGGUACACAUUACGGCGCGCAAUUAAUCAGUUGAAAUCAGUAUAUAUGCUAAAGGAUUUCUGUUUCUUUUUCCUUUUUUUCUUUUUUAUCGUUCUAGGCGAGCGAAAGGUGCAAGUUCUUUCUAUGGUGCGACAUGGCCGGUCCCAAUCAGCAGAAUGCUCACAACAGUAGCCCUGCGAAGCCCUACCAGCGGCGUGGUAUCGACAGCCCAGUGAAGCCCGUCGCGAAAAGCCCAACCAAGCACGUCCAGCUAAACGGUCCCGCGAAACCGACGACUCCUAUUUGCUCCUGCGGCGCCGGGCGAUGCAGCAUUCUGAUGAUGCAAAACGGCGUCAACUCGGGCCGCAAGUAUUAUGCCUGUGCUAUCAAGAAGGUAAUGCUGUCCAUCAGUUCGGUUUAAAUAUAUAACAAUUGAUUCGUAGUAUUUUGUUUUGCAUUAAUUCAUGUUGAAUGUAGAUAUCAAAAAAACCAUUCUCUCGUAGUUUAAGCUGUUUUUGGAGAAUAACAGUUAUUUCAUAUAAUUUAAUAUGGUAUCAGCGUUAUUAUUAUUAUUAUUCUCCUCUUUAAUUAAUUGAAGUCCACGUUUUAGGCCUAUUAAAACGUCUCGGGCCCAGACGUGAAACUCUGUUCUCUGGUUGUUUCAUAUUAUUUCACAGUUUGAUCCUCGUAAGUUCUUGUAUCAUAAAGCAUCGAGAUCGACAAUUAUCUCGAAGCUCAAAAUUGAUCCUCAUCGGAUAACAGGUAGUUUGAAAUUUCAGGAUUUGUUCGAAAUAACUACUAACUUAAUCCAGAAUAGUGGGUUUUGAUUCUUCAUUUUCUACUUUGUGUGCUUCUUUGUUUUUAAUUUCUUUUUCUCUCAGUCGCAAAAUAUAUGUUGUGUAAAAAUUUAAUGUUGUGCAUUGUCGAUUCGUGUAUAAAAGAUUGACGUCGAUGGUAGCAUCAUAAAUGACUCGUAUUUGUUUCCUGCUUUAUAUCCCCUCAAAAUUCCUUCUUUGAACUCGAUCCGCAGUUUUCGGUGUUCUCAGUUGACGUGAUUCAGAUGCAGCAAUUGUGAUUGCGCAUCUUUUAUCCGUUCUUCGACAUCGAUUUUUCGCGUCGAAUAUUUCAUCUUUUCUUCCUGUUACAAAGCCCAAAUUGGGUUAUUGACUUUUCUCUUUCCAGGGCCAGGGAGCCUGCAAUCACUUCCAGUGGCUUGAUGAAAUCGCGGGAAAACCGCCCGAAACAGGAAAUGCCGAUUUAAACGAACUCAAGCUCAAGCUCGCGAGUUCUGAUCCUGUUUUGCAGGAUAACAAGAACAUCGGUGAAAACAAGGCCCCAAAAAUGAACUGCAACGGCGAAGCACACGAAAUCGACGAUGCCGCAUUAAUGCAGUUACCGCUGGACGAGCCGCCCGUCCUGCGAUCGCCGCCGGUCUCACCGAAGAGGCAACCCCAAGCGAGCGACGAAAUCCGAACUUCCCCGAUGAAAAGGCUCAGUUUACACGACGGCACACCGCCGGUCUCACCGAAGAGGCAACACCAAGCGAGCGACGAAAUCCGAACUUCCCCGAUGAAAAGGCUCAGCUUACACGACGGCGUGCCGAGCGUGCCGGGGAUCGGUAAAUGCUACCGAUGCGGCCGCGAAGGACACUGGAUGGCCGAGUGCGCCUCGCCUGCAGUCAGUCCCUGCUUCCAGUGCGGCAAGCCCGGGCACUGGAAGAAAGACUGCCCCGAGUUUCGCUGACUCUGAUCUUCAGCUAGUUUUGCCCUAAGUUUAUUGUCAAAAAAACAUAUUGUUCAUGCUAUAAGUGGCUAAUGUUAUGUGUGUUUCUGUGAUUUAACUCUUCCUUACUGGAAUAGUGGGAGAACUUCUAUUGUUAUAUAUAUAUAUAUAUAUAUAUAUAUAUAUAUGCUCUCUUGUGUAAUAGUAUUUUCUUUUGGUUAUUCCUGUUUACAAUUACACCAUUUUAGUGAAAUAUGUAUAAAAGAAAAAAAAAAGUAAAAAUGUAUAAAAUUUAGCUUGAAUUAUAAAUUAUUUUUAUUCGAGUACCUCCUAAUCUUUCAAAAUUUUGAUUUUAGUGCCUGAUCUUUUAUUUUGUUUGAUUUAAAUAAUUUAAUAAUUAUUUACUUUAAUAAAUUUACAGUUAUAUAAACUGUAUAGAGUAUAGUGUUGGGAACCGGAUGGAUCGUCCGUCAUGUGCUACCAACAAAGAUGCACGAAAAAUAGAGAAAAUCGAUCGAACGGUAAAAGAAAUAAAUGCAGAAAGAAGAAACCAAAAUUUACGUGGUUCGGCAAUUGCCUACGUCCAUGGGGAGAGCGAGAGAAAUGUAUUCCACUAUAUGAAGAAACAGAAGUAUAAACUUACACCUUAUGUCUUCUCCGGAUAAAAAACCAAUAACCUUAUGGUGAAUCACACCUUUCUUGUUCCAACGAAAACUCCAAGAAAAUACCGAAAAAGCUUUUCGUAAAAUCGAGAAGACCAAAUUAGAGAAGUAUAGAAACUCUAACCAAAUUCCUUUAUGCCGUUGCUUCGAAGAAUCCGAACCGCUCAGACAAUUGGUUGAGAACCGUCGCUCUGCCGCCGACUUAAAUCCGUCGCAUGCAAGACCGCGACACCUUCUACCGUACGGACGAGGCACCUUAAUUAAUUAGCUAUUCACCGGAUGCUAAUUAAUUUUCCUCUAUACCCCCUCAAGAACCGUACAUGCCAACCGGCCACUUAAUUAUGUUGCUAAUUAAUUUCAGCCUUACUCGACACCAAGCCAUGCAUGUAUAUAUAUAUAAGAGAGGGAUUUGGCUCAAACCUACUCUAAUUCAAUUGAAUAUAGAGUCAUAUAUGGAAAACUAAUCCUAGUCUAUUUAGGAUUCCAAUUUAAAUUAGGAUCCACCAAAAUAAAUUCUCAUAAGAUCCUUUUUAUUUUUCCAUAAAUCCGGUGUAUGAACCAAACCAAAAAAGAAGGCAUAUCUUUCACAUAUAGUAACUAAAUCUCUUAAAAGAUAAACGGUGUAUUCAAAUUUUAACGGUAAAAAACCACUAAUUGGCUUAAAUCAAAUUUCGUAAUUUAGGCUUAAAAAUAUGAGAAUUGUUUUGUGCAUGAGUGCACGUACACACCGGGUUCACGGAAAGAUUUACGCAGACGUAGACCCUUCCCGAAGCCGCGAACACCAUCCUCACACUUGUAGCAAACCAACGGUUCAGAUCAGAUGAUCUUUAAAAUCCUACGGCCACGAUUCGCUAAUCACCACUAUAUAAACCCGUCACCAUUUCGUUUCGCGAGUUUAAACGAACACUCUCCAAUAAACGACCGACUCUGGGGUUUUUUCGAUCAUUCGCUAGGGUUUUAGCCUUUUUUCUCGAUCAAAAUGGUGGGUUUCGCUCCCUUUUUUGCUCGAUUUCGAUCUCGAUCUCUUAUUGUUUUUCUUUUUGUGGGUUUAAUUCUGAUUUGAUUUGAUUUUUGGUGGUGGUGGUGAUAAUGUUGAUUAGGUUCUUCAAAAUGACAUCGAUCUCCUCAAUCCCCCUCCUGAGUUGGAGAAGAAGAAGCACAAGCUCAAGAGGCUCGUCCCAUCCCCCAACUCCUUCUUCAUGGUGAUUCCCAAUUCCUUCUCCGAUUUUAUUAUAACAUUUUAUUUGGAUUCUAACGUAUAAUUUUUCUUCUUUUUUUUUUUUCUCUCUCCUUUUUCAAACUAUUUGUAGGAUGUGAAGUGCCAGGGUUGCUUCGCCAUGUAAGUUUUCGCAGCUUCAAAAUUUUUAAACUCUGUGUUGUUUUCAAUUCGAUGAUCGAAAUAUGUACAUUUGAUGUGUGGUUGGUAAACUUGUUGCGAAGUCUCAUUUGGUUAAUUGAAUCAAAAUUUGUCGCUGAAUUUUAGAACUGCUGUUCGAUGAAGUGCGGUGUGGGCAGCGCUUUUAGGAAAAGCAAUAUUAAGAUUUUCUCAGCAGAUUCAGCAGAAGUAAAAGCAAAUUUUUCUUUUUUUUUUUUUUUUUUUUUUUGCUAAAUCAUAAAAGCAAAAGCAGGACCAAACAGUUGGUUAAUUUCUAGGGUAAAAUGUGUAGCGACCACUCGUGAACUUUAACUCACUUGCCAAACAGGCGUAUGAACUUUCAAUUUUGAUAAAGAGAUCUCUUAAACUUUUAUUAUAUAGUUCAAUAAAGUAAAAUUAUUAAUUACAUGAUCAUUUUGAUCUUAUAUAUUGUAUGUAGUUUUAUAAGGCUUCCAAACGCAAUAUAUAUAUAUAUAUAUAUAUAUAUUUUUUGGUAUUCUAACAUAUAAUAAAAGCGAAAAAAAUUGAAGUUUAGUUUAAUUUAUUUUUCGAUCGUCAUGCUUAAUUACCAAAAGUGAAAGCGAAUAUAUAUAUAUAUAUAUAUAUAGGCCGUGGCUACUAUACUAUUAUGAGUAUUGGAGCCCUCGUACUCAUAAGUUGUUUUCGAUGAUGGAGCUUCCGAAUCGACGAUCCACUCCGUUAAAUAUGAUCUAAAGUAUUUGAAACUUCUAGAAAAUAAAUUUCGUAAAUUUUCGAAAUCAUAAUAAAGCUCGUCAAGCGGGCAUAAAAUGAACGGUCAAAAUCGAACGACGUACUAAAAAAGGAUGAUCGGAUCCUUCAAUUCAAGAUCAGAGUUAUUGAUCUUUAUCUAGGUAGUGAAUAGAAUUUUUCUAUCAAGAAAUUCAACCAAUUCCGAUUCUUUACAAGCCGUUAAAGCUAGCAAGUAUUCGCAUACCGGGCCGAUGUACAAUGUAUCAACUUUGUGAUAUUUUGAUCGAGGUAAUGAUGUUGAAAACAUUAUAAAUUCUGAUUUAUUUGCGUUUUAAAUGCGUGUACCCAAAUAUGAACGUUUAAUCGUAUUGGAUCGUCGAUCUCGGCAAGCAUCUUAUCAUCGAAAGAUUUAUAGGUACAAGAGCGAGUGUAGCUCAUAAGUAGUCAUAGUAGCCAGACCCUAUAAGAUAUAUGAUAUAUAUAAUAUGAAAUUCGAGUUAGAAUACUAUCGGUAUUAACUGGGUGGUUUCUUUACGUGGCCACUAGGGGUGGAAACGAGCCAGUCAAGAGCGAGCUUCCUCGGCUCAAAUUCGGCUUGAAAUAAUUUGCGAGCACUAAUUUAAGCUCAAGCUUGGAUUAAAUUAAAUUCAGCCGAGCUUCGAGCGGCCUAAUUGUGAGUCGGAGCAGAGCUUCGAGCCCUAAACGAGCCGCGUGAAAUUCUCAACAUAUACAAUCAAUAGUUUUUAAUUGUGAUACGAACCAUUAUCUAUAAUUUGUUACAAAAAUAUGCUCAUAAUAGUUCAAAGGUACAGAAAUAAUUAUUGAAAUAUGUAUUGAUAAUAUGAAAAAAAAAAUUUAUGAGUUGAAUAUCUAAUCUUUUUCCGCCUCACAUGUCUUUUCGUUCGGCGGACUUCAAUCUGCCAUAUUAUCUUCAUUUUUAUUAUUGCAAUCAAAAAUAAAUAAAUUAUAUUAGAUAAAAUAUUGGAUUAAACUAUCCAAUGCAUAUAUAACUACAAAUUAAAAUUUUAUAGUGAAUAAUAAUUUUUUUACUGUUAAAAAUAUGCUAUAAUAUUUUUCCUCAAGCAUACCAAUUAAUAGCCAAGGGACCUUGUAAGUGCAACGGCGGGUAUGAUUGCUUUGGAGGCUUCCGCGCUUGCCACUUAGGACGAGAAUAGAAAAGAGCAAAUAGAGAAACAGUAGUACAAAUUUAGAGCUCUGUGAAAGGAAAGAAAGAAGAAGAAAGAAAAAAUUCUAUAAAUCUAGUUAAAAUUUUGCUUCUUUUAUUUGUCAUUGGGUUUGUGUUUUAUGGCCAAACAUCUGCGCGCCGCCAAUUAACUAAACUCAGAUGUAUUCACUCAAGCCAUACUAUAGUUAUAUUAAAAUAUAAUAUAUUUCUAUAUAUUUUUAAUAUAUAGUAUUAUAGUAUAUAUAAUUAUAUACUAUAUAGUAUACGAACUUAGGCUGGAUAUACUAUUAAUUGUAGAAACUGCUCUUUUGCUGUCAAAGUUUUUAACGCUUGGAUGAAAAUUGUAAGCUGUCGGAUGAUAUUAGUGCGGAUUGGAGUUUGAAUUGGUCCGCCCUAGGGUUGGAGUGUUCCCCACUGGGAUAUAGUAUUAAUUCCAAUGUAUAUAAAAUAAUGAAAGGAGUUGUUCAAAGGCUAAAAAACUGGUAGCAACAAUGGGAUUGUUGCUACUGAUAGUAGCCAGUCUCAACUCUCUCUCUCUCGUCCAGACUCUCGAAUCUCGUCUCACUCUCUCUCUCUCUCUCUCUAUUAUAUAUAUAUAUAUAGUCUAUAGUAUAUAAUAUAUAGUAUAAUAAGAGCUCUGUGCUCAUAAUAGCACAGCAGGCCCUACAAUAAUAAUAUAUAUAUAUGAGUAUGGCGGCGCUAGAAUUACUUUACAAGUAUCCCGAAAGGAUACUUGUGUGUUAUUUAACGGCAUGAUCUACUUUUUGAUUACUAAUAAGCCUUUAGAUCAAACACUAUUCCAACACUACGUCACCGACUACCACGCAUCCAUUUCAACCUAACUCUCCAUCCAAGGCUACCAAACACAACAAGUAUCACUGAGUGAUACUUUACAGAUUAUCUGCUCUACUCUAUCUCGGUCUCAUCGUGUGGGCCGGAUAUUGGGACCCAGUUUAUUUGUAGGAGUUAUUCGUUCAUCCGCCGUCUCUCGUCUCUCUCUAUAUAAGGUAUAUGAUAUAUUAUAUAUCUAUUAUAGUUAGUGUAAACACUAACUGAUCGAAAAUAUAGAGAAUUUGAUGUUUUCGGAAUUUUGUACCACGUUUGAUAAUAAAUGUUAUGGUGUGGGAUAAUUGCGGUCCUUUCCUAGGAUUAAAUAAUAUCUUAGGAUUGAGUGGUCCUACCAGAUAAUAAUAGUAUUCAAUCCAAGAUAAAAAAUGAUUAAGGGCGAUCUAAAUCAAAAAAUCACAAAGCACAAAUCCGCUUACCUUUUGAUAGGCAUAGUAGCUUAAUUAUAUAUAUAUCAGGUAGUAUAUAUUGGAUAGUAUAUAUAUCAUAUAAUAUAUAUAAUAUAUAUAUAGUAUAAUAUUCGAGCUUUUCGAGCCUAAUUCGAACAAGCCGAGUAAUACUCAAGCUCGGCUUGAAAUGAAUUUCGAGACUUUUUUUUUGUUCAAGCUCGGCUCAUUAAAUUUCGAGUCGAGCUCGAGCGAGCCAAAUAUCGAGUCGAACGCGAGUCGAACGCGAGCGGGCUCGCUUAUUUGCCAGCCCUAGUUGCCACAUGUUUAUUUUCGAUGAUGGAGCCUCCAAAUCGAUGAUCGACACUGUUGAAUAUGAUCUAUACCACUUGAAGUAUCUAGAAAUCAAACUUCAUGCUUUUCUAAUAUUGUUCUCUUGUCCAUCAAAUGGGCGUAAAAAUGAACGGCUGAAAAUGAAUAUUCUCUAAAAAGUGAUAAUAGGAAUUUUGUAAUCAAGAUUGAGAGUAUAGACCUUAUUCUAAAUAGUUUACAGAAUUUUCUAACCAAAAUUCAAUUGAUUUGGAUAGCUUUACACCGUUAAAUGAGAAAACGCCUCAUAUCUAUCAUUAAAAUUACAAAUUUGAAACCCUUUGAUCAAUAGGUCAAUGAUGUCGAAAAGAUUUGAAAUUUGGUUUCUAGAUACUUCGGGUGGUAUAGUUCAUGUUCAACGAUGCCGAUCGUCAAUUUGAAGGCUCCAUCAUCGAAAACAAACAAAUGGGUGGCAACGAAGCCGGUUUGCUACCGAUAGCAUUACAGCUCAACUAUAUAUAUAUAUAUGAAUUAGGCUGGAAUACUAUUAAUAGUAAAAUACUCUUUUUGCUAUCAAGUUUUUAACCCUUGGAUGAAAAGUUGUAGGGUCAGAAUGAUAUUAGUCGGUUAGAGUUGAGUGGUCCCCCUAGGGUUGAGUGGUCCCCACUGGGUUAUAGUAUUUAAUCCAAUGGUUAGAAAUAAUGAAAAGAGUUGAUCCAAAGGCUAAAAAACCGGUAGCAAUAAUGGGAUUUUGCUACUAAUAGUAGCCCAGUCCAACUCAUAUAUAUAUAUAUAGAGAGAGAGAGAGAGAGACUAUAUAUAUAUAUAUAUAUAUAUAUAUAGAGAGAGAGAGAGAGAGAGAGUUAGGCUAAUAUACUAUCGGUAUCCGUGCUACUAAGUUUUCAAUGAUGCAGCUUUCAAAUCGACGAUCGGCUCCGUUAGACAUGAUCUACACUAUUGAAAGUAUUUGGAAACUAAAUUUCAUAAUUUUUCGGCAUCAUUUACCUAUCAAACGAGUAGUCUACAAAUGAAUGGCUGAAAAUAAAAAUCUCAUAAAAAAUGAUGAUAAAAAACUUGAAUUUAAAAUCAAAGCUAUUGAUCUUACUCUAAAUAGUGAAAAAAAAUUUCUAUAAAAAUUUCAUUAAAUUUGGAUUGUUUUACACUGUUAAAUUCACAAACGCAUCACAUCUACCAUUAAAAUUGUCAAUUUUGGAACCUUUUGAUCACUAGCCAAAUGAUGUCGAAAAAUUAUAAAAUUUAGUUUCCAAAUACUUUUAAUAGUGUAGAUCAAGUCUAACAGAGCCGAUCGUCGAUUUGGAAGCCGCAUAAUUGAAAACAACUUGGUAGCACGGAGGUUUCCAUGCUAACGAUAGUAUACCAGCCUAGCUAGAGUCCGGCUAUUAUACUAUUAAUAGCACGAAACACUUGAUACUACCAAGUUUUCUGCCGUUAGAUCUACCGUUUUGAUCAUUUUCACCCGUUAUAUCAUAUUAUUCAACUAAUCACCCACUCAACCCUAGGAGAUCACUAUCAUUCUAACCGCACAUUCUUUUAUCUAAAGGCCGAAAACCUAAUAGCAAGUGGUUGGUACUAUUAAUAGAUAUAUAUAUAUAUAAUAUAUAUAUAUGUCAGAACUAGCUGCAAUACUAUCAAUAGCACCAAGCUAUUAGUGCUAUUGAAAUUGUUUAGAACCUUGGAUUGAGAAAUGCGUGGUAGAUGAUGUGGCCCCAUAGUUGAGUGAGUGUUUGGUUUGAAUAUUAUGAUCAACGGGUAAAAAUAAUCAAUUAGGUUUAAUCUAACGAUAGAAUACCCUAGCGCGGACUCUCUCCUCUCUCUCGUCUCGCAAUGCCCACUCGCCCACGGCUCUCCAAGACGCAUAGAGAUAUAGACCGCGGACGGACGUAUGUGAUUGAGGCGAGCGUCCAGUGAAAACGACAGACAGCCAACCUUGUAUAUCUCCUCAGUCUCGAUAGGCGGAAUAGUUAGUAGUAAGCUCUAUUCCUGCGGAGACCCGAGGCCGUGGGCCAUCCUCGACACCGGGAUCCACAUAAGGCGUCAGCCUCAAUAACCAGGCCGAUAAUCCUCUUCCUCCUCUGCUAUAUAUAUAUAUAUACUAUAUAUAUAUAUAUAUAAAAUUGUAGCUCCUAUGCUUUAAAAGUACCAAGUUAUGGUACUUGCCUACAACAAAACUAUUCUAAGCGGCGAUUUAUUUUUUCAAUUAGGCCGCAAUUACAAUUGCCAGGCUAAAAUAUUUGUGGCAAUUUUAACAAUUGCGCUAUUGCAGGGUCGCUUAAAAGUUUUAGCGGCAUUUAUUCCGGCGGUUGGUAAAAAAUUCAAAUAAAUGCCGCUAUAAUUUAUACAAUAACGACUAUUAUAAAUGCCAGGCUAAAUAGUAUGCAAUAACAACUAUUAUAAAUGCCCGCUAAAUAAUAGUACAAUAACAACUAUUAUAAAUACCGCUACAAUUAAUUAAUUGCCGCUAAAAACAUAUAAAUGAAUUGAUUAAUAAAGCUGUAUAGCGUUAAUAAAUUAAUAUUAAGAUACUGUGAUUAACAACUAAAAAUACUACAAUCAAUUGAAAUAUUAAAAAAUAUUAGUAACCAAAAAGCAUUAAUAAUUUGUAUAACAAAUAGUCUCAACUCUCAAAUUACAAUCUCAGAAUUCAAAUUAAAUUUCAAACAUAAGUUCUAACAAAAAAUACUUGUUCAAAAUGUAGCAAAAAAAUAACAAACACCGCAUGUCUUGCUUCCCACUUCAAUUUCCGCAGCUCUAGCUGAUCUGGAUCAACCCAAAAGAAGUCAUAAAAUUAGUAUCUGAAAUUAUCAAAUAAAAAUCAUCAUAUCAAAUUUCUGAAAAAUAUGAAAGUUAGGUUGUACUGAUUUGGUCUAGCUUUCUUUUCAUUUUGUAACAAUAGCAUUCAAAUUAAGUAAACAAGCACAUCUGAAAAAAAAAAAAAAAAGAACUAGCCAGCCAAUUAGUUAUAGAAGUUGAAUACAACAUAUCAUAAAUAAUUUGUAACGAAAAAUAAAGCGUGCAAAAGCACAGGAAACUGAACUGGAAUCUGAGAAGAAUAACCAAAAUACAACUUUUCAUAGUUAUAAUCAUCACAGAUGAUAAGGAGGGAAGAGAAGAGGAUAUGAUACAUGGUCAUAAACUUGUAAUUGGAUGCUAUUGAAGAGUAUUACCAGAAUUAGAAGGCCAAGAUGAUGCAAAGAGGAAAUUAUGGGCUAAUAUAUAUCUUGUGACAGAACAUGAUAGUCUAGUCCACAAAGAUAGUGAUUUUGAGCACUUAGUGAAGGAUUAUCAGAGAUGUGAACUAAUUUGUUUGUAUUUAGAUUAACCACUAUGUAAACAAGGCAGUAUAGCACCUUUUUGUAGGCCUCGCCUUUAGUUGGGCUUCCUUUUCAAGACCAAGUUUAUCGUUUAACCCAAGUUUCAAAUCAGGCAUCCCAGAAAGGAAGCACUUCAUCAAAAUCUUUCCAGUCACGUCACAACGUAAAACACUCCCUGUAAAAAUGUCAAGAAAUUUGCAGAAAACUAAUUACAUACUUCGGAGAAGGAAAAACAGAAAAAAAAAGGAAAAAAAAACAUCGAUAGAUGCCCACCCAUCAGAAUGAAUAAAUAUCAAGAGACUAUGUACCUUUAGAGGACAUAAGAAGAUUUACACUUGCAACUAUAUCCAGAAAAACCUGAGAUGUAUUACCAUGUGUAAGCUUACUUUCUCAUAAAAUUCAUAGAAAGAAGACUAAUUAAAGAAGUAGCACCUCAUUUUUCUUGUAAACAAGACCCUCACGCCUCCAACCGACAGCACCUGUAACUUGUAGAGUAGCAUUGGGUACAGGCCUAUCUGAGGACUUCAAUUACAGAAAGAAAAGGUAGUAAAAACAUGUUAAUAUAUUCCUUAACUGCAGAACUAAGCCAAUUAAGGUAAAAGUGUUAAACUGCGGAUGGAUGUGGUGUUAUACAAUGCAAGCUCAUCUCCAGUGCAAAAUUACAGAAUCAAACAUCCAAUAUAUCUAACCUUGGAAGAAAAUGGUGAACGGAAUCCUUGUUGAGUGAUGUAGAGCUUCAAUAUUUCAGGUGAAAGAUUUUGUGGGUAUCCAAAAUCCAUGAUCUCUGCAUAUUAAGCAAUGGUAUCACAUAGUGGAAGUUUUAAAUUAAGUACACCAAAUGCACCCUAAAGAAAUAGAUUUCUUUUUGAAUGUGCGAAGUGGGUAAGGGGGCAAGGAAUUCUUCAGAUAUUAAAUAACAUAAAUUGCAAAUUCACAAAAGACUCUUGAGGUACUCUUGGCUAAAUUACAAAGCACAAAAAGCCGAAAACUCUUAACCAGAUAUUCCAAAUUUGUAUGGGAUUUCAUUUUAAACGAAUAACAUAAUUUUACUAGAGCAUUAAUUCAUUAGUAAUGGCUGGAAAUGUUAUCCAAAAAUUGAUGCAAACAGCCAUAUUAAGUUCUAGUUAAGCAGUGUAAACCGACUCUACGAACAAUUUCAAAAUAAUUUUAAGCAAUUAUAAAGCCAUAGAGGAAUUAAACCACACAUAUAAAUUUCAAUUAACCUAACAUCUCAAUGGAUGAUGUGGCAUGCAAAAUCCAUGUAGUAUCAUCUACUUAAGUUGCUAUUUGAGUAGUGAUGUUGAACAAGUCUUAAGUUCAUUUCGUUAAGAUCCUCUAAGCAGAAUCUGAAGAAAGCCUGAAACAAACUUUUGUCAAAACUCAUUUCAACAUUAGAGAGAGAAGAAAGCCUUUAGCCGAAAACUCGGCUUCCGCUAUAUGAAAGUCAACAUGCUUCAACUGGCAUUGUGGGCUUAAAGAGGUUUUCAACGGCUUAGCUGGUUGCUCACUCUAUUCCUUAUGUGUGAGAGAAGAAGAUGACGAGGGGAAGAGAAAAGACAAAAACAAAGGAAAAAACAGUACUUAGAAAACACAUAAUAAAGAGUAAUAGUAAAUCAAUAAUAAUCGGUCAGUGAAAUUUAUCAAUUAGACUAGUCAUAAUGAUAAAGCGUAUAAGAUCACGAUUCUAUGAAGUUAUCAACAACGAAUGAUAAAUGUAGGAUUAGAAGGUUGCAGAAAUAGAUGUAUUAAACACUCUAAUCUGCAGAAACUGUUGCCUAGACCUGCAGUGUGGCCAAGCGAAUAUACGCUCAUCAGGUAAACAGCCGAGUUAUUAACCAAAUGCUACAUGAGAAUAUAAUUCAAAAUAUUACUGAUGAGUCAAUCUUGGUGUACUAAGAUGGUUGCUGAUGAUUGGUUUAGUUUUUCAUACUUUGAUCGACAUAUUAAAAUGACUAAGAGUUGGCAAUAAAGUAAGUACAGGAAAAAAAAAAGAAGAUAAUUUUACACAUAAUUGGUGGAAAUAAUACAAAUAAUAGUACAAAUUAACUGGCAUUAAUGCGACAACAAUUGUACAUCACCUUACUAAACCCCACUAAAUUAGAGAGAGAAGAUCCUGAUACCACAUUGAAGAUGGAGACCCAAGUUCGAAAUUGAAGGGUUAAAGGACGUAAGCACUAUUGUGAACGCAAUCUCUGUACAUUGCAAGUACUGUAUUUAGGUAGAACAAUUAGCUAUGUUGGUCUAUCCAUUCAUUCGUAUGACUUGAGCAUACUCAGUUGAUCUGAUUACUUGUUCCCAUUUUCUUGCUUCUGGGGAAGUCCACAUUCAUCUAUUUACCUUGACAUUCAUCUUAGACCCUCUAAGUGAUGUUCGUACAAGAAAAUUUGUCUUCUAAGAGAAGAUUCUUCUAGUUUUGCUCAGAUAAUACCUACUUGACUGUUUGUGCCUAGAAAAUUUUGGCUAGUGCAACAGUUUGAUCUUCAAAUUUUAAUUUAUUAUAAUUUUGGGCUCAUGCUUUCUAGAUUGUUGCAAUGCAAUCAAGUUUUACAGUCUAAUAUUAAUUUGACUAAAUGGUCACAACUUAAUUAAUAUUAAUCUCGCAUUUUCUCAAAUUUUUAUUAAACUCGAACAUUAAUCUCACAACAAUACAUCAAAAUUUACAUCACACGAUUGAACUAGAUCGACAUAAAGAGGACGAAAAUGAGAUGAAUACAUCCAAAAACCUUACAGUUGAUGAAAAUUAAAUCUCACCAUUAAUUCUACUAUAUUUUGAUACACAAACAUCAUAAUUUCAUCUUUGAUUCCUUUCCUCUGUAAAUUACACUCCUUUUCUUAUCUUAGAAAAAAAUUGGAUGCUACUGAUUCUUACUACUACAAAAACUACUGCAUCUUUCAACUCAAACAUGGAAUCACAUUGUAUUGCCACCAAAUCACAUUUAGGUAAAAUAGCAUAAUCGAUUUGACACAAUUAAGUUAGAGUCACUAUGGAUAAGGAAUCAGAAUACUUUGCAGUUGACAAAAUUCUCAAAUCGAAAUCAUAUGGUUUGAUUAACUUGAUUUCAAAUCUUUUUUCACUUGCACCAAGAACGGCCAGUCAUUUGAGAGUGCUCUUAUUUGGAAAUAUUAGUGGUUUUGUUUAACUUGAUUUCAGAUGCUUCGGAACGAUUUCAAAAAGUAUUAAGCAAAUUGGGUAAUUUUUUAUGACGAAUUUGCCAUGAUUUGUAAUUCUCAAAUAUAAAUUAAACAUAUCUAACCAGAAUACUCAAAAACUCCUUUACGGAUCCUGCAAGGAUAAAACAGAAACAGUGAACAAUAGAUUUCAAGUCAAUCACAUUCACUCCAAUUCAUGCGAAUUCACUGAUUUGAAAAUCAAUUCAAUUCUACUUUGAUUUGGUACCAAACAGCAUUAACAAAAUAAACAUACAGGUCCAGAUUGUGCAAUUUACAUGUUUCGACAGUUUCUAAUUUUACCAAAUGGGCUGAGAUAACUGCAUAUCUGUAUAAGAUGCAAUGUAUACAAUAGAAUCUGCUUCUAAUUAUGUUUUCUGGAAACAAAAGUCGAAAUCCUCAACAGUAAGAAAGUGGACAACAAAUCGAAAGUCGAAAAAGGAACUCUGGCUCGAAAAAAAAUAUUCAUUAGAUUUCCCUUAUGCUCAGCUCAUAUAUUUGAAUAAAUGACAACAUGAUACCACUGAGUCAAGUAGAACAAUAUUACAACACAUAAAUCACUAGUAAGUCAAGCAGAAAGAUAGAACAACAAAAAAAAUUUAGUUAAUCUUAGAAAAAAAAAACUGAUACAAAAAGCAGCAUAUGAUUAUUAUUAAUACAGUACAUCAUCUAAUUUAAAUCUUUCUAAUUAUUAUUUAGUAUCUGCAUAAAAAUGCUGAACAAUAACUCUCACAGCAAUUGGAAUCCUCACAGUGUGUUGGUCUAAUCCUCCCUACUCUAGCAUUCACAUAAAACAGAUCCAGAUCUCAAGAAGAAUUGAUUGUGGAUGUAAAAAGCAGUGAAAGAUCGGUGACGUCGAGGGAAGAAUGGGGACCUGAUGUCGAGAUCGGUGACGUCGAGGGAGAGCUGGGCGUGCUAGAGGGGAUUCUCGGUGACCCACACGGCGCGGUCGUCGCGGCUCCGCCAGAACCCUAGAUGCCGCUGUCGAGAGCUUCCUCAGCCACUCCUCCGCCGCCGAGAGCUCCUCCGCCGGAGACGACGCCGCCGCCGCCGAGAGCUCCUCCGCCAUGGAGAGCUCCUCCCCCGGAUCCGAGCUUAGAGAACGCCGCGACGCAGCUUGGAUCGAGAGGGGAGGGAGAGGGAGAGGGAGAGGGGGAGGGGGAGGGGGAGGGAUGUAGGGUUUGCGCGGGGUGGGGAUCGCGAUAGAAAAGGGCGCGACUGAGGUGUCGACUCAGGGGGGGGGUGGGGGGAUCGUGGGUUCAGAUCCGGGUGUGUGGUUAGGGUUGGAGUUGACGUUAAAGGAUUAUUUAUGUUUAUUAAUAUAAUAAAUAUAGUUGGUAAAUAUAUAUAUUUUGAAAAUAAUUGCCGCAAAAUGAUAAUUAAUAUAAUAGUAAUAGUUGCCGUUGAUAAUCACCGCUAAAUAAAUGCCACCAAAAUAUAGUUUUGUUGUAGUGUUGUAAGUUUUCGGCCCUUGAUUAAGGGAUGUGUGGUUAGGAUGUGAUUGUGGCCUCCUGAAGUUGACGUGGGUGGUUGGUUGAAUAAUAUAAUCUAACGGGUGAAAAUGAUCAAAGGUGUAGAUCUAACGGUAAAAAAUUUACAAGCACCACGUGCUUGGUGCUUUUACAAGCACCAUAGUCGGACUAUAUAUAUAUAUAUAUAUAUAUAUAUAUAUAUAUAUAAAGUUUUACAUAAAUAUCUGCAUGACAUUCGGUCAAAACGACUAGUUAGUAAGUUCACUUGAGGAGAGUGACUUUCUGGACUAUUUGAUAAAGUUUAAGGUGUCUCUUUACCAAGAUUAAGAGUUUAGGCACCUGUUUGUAAAUGAGCUAAAGUUCAGGGGUGUCCCUACAUUUUUUCCUAAUUUCUAUAUCGAUAGAUCAUUUAAUCAAAUUUAGUUGAAAUUACAAAUUAUGGAACCAUCUUGAGAUAUUAAGAUCCUACAUGCUACAUCACUAUUAUGAAAUGAUGCGGCAGCUAAUUCAGUGCUAUGUUAUUGUUGCAUCAUCUCUUAGAGACGGCAUGACAGAAUGAUCCGUUACCGCAUCAUUCCCUGUUUCAGGGAGGUCGAGUCAAGGAGAUCUAUCGUAGGUAGUGAUCCGAUGAAAACUGAAGCUAUAGUUUGGUGAAUCAACAAAUCAAAAUCUGAAUGAUCUAAUUGAUUGAAAUGGGACAUUGUGUGAUUUACCAACGAAGAAAAUAAUCGGGUAAACUAACACUUUUGGUUCGAUGUUUGCAGCACGACGGUUUUCAGCCACUCGCAAACGGUGAUUGUGUGCGCGAACUGCCAGACGGUGCUGUCCCAACCAACCGGCGGUCGCGCGAAGCUCACCGAGGGCUGCUCCUUCCGCAAGAAAGGCGACUAACUGCAGCGGUGCGUCACCUCCCGCGCCCUUUCCUCUCAUACUUUGUGAAUAUUCGCUGCUUUCUGGGAGACGAGUUUGUUAUCUUAUAGAAGAUUAUAAAAAAAAAAAAAAAAAAAAAAAUUGUAGUUCUGAGUUUACGUGAGUUUUAAGUUUCCACAGUAUGUUCGUAGAGAAUGGCGAAACUGGGUGUGUAUGCACAUGUUUUGUUGUGUAAAAAACUGGCACUUUGAGUAAAGCAUGGUCGGAGUUUUCGCGAUUUUGUGUUAAAAAGUAAUGUUUGAUGGAUUUCUCUGUUUCCGGGUUCAUUUGGUUGUAAAAUAAAACUUUGUGAACCAUAAAAAAUAAGAAUAAAAAAAGUAUUGGGCUAGCACAGGCCUGGCCGGACCCAUUCAGGCCUGAGGGCCAUGCUAAAGUCGCGGGCCUGAAAAAUUUUGCAUGGCAUGGCGCAGGCACCGUCUGAAUAUGAUUUGUAGCUGGGGCAAGUCGGACUGACUCUGGGCCUAAUUCAACUCCGAAAAAUGUAGGCCGUGCCAACCCUGCACGGCUCAAAUUACAUCCCGAGACCCAAAUAUUUUAAUUUGUAAGUUGUUAUAACUUUUCUAAUGGAUCCUUACUUUGCCCACAAGGUGAGGGUAAGAAAUGCUUGUGUGGAUCCAAGGAAUAUGGGCCCCAGUUGGACCUUUAAUAAGGGCUUAUCUGGGAUUGCAGGCAAAAUACACUAUAUGGGUGUGUUUGGUUCGAAGUCCGAAUCAGUAUCGAAAUCAGAAUGAGAAUAAGUUUGAAACGGAAUUGGAAUGAUUCAUUACUUCUUUCUGUUUAAUUCGCCACCUGAAUCGGAAACAGAAUGAACUAUUUCCAUUAUCGGUGUUUGGUUCAGAUAGAUAUCAGAAAUGUAAUCAAAUUAAUAUACCAAUUUUAUCUUUAUAAUAUAUUAGUUUAAAUACAAACUGAAAAUUAAAUAUUAAAAAUUUAUGUCAAAAUUUUAAAUAUAUAUUUUUUUAAAAAUUAAAAUUUGAAACUGAAUGGAUAAUUCAAAAUAUAAAACUAAAUUUCGAUUUGUUCAAAUUCAAACAUCAAAUUAUAAUUUAAAUUUUAAUUUGAAUCUUUAAUUUUUAAUAUAAAUUUUAAAUAAAAUUUGAAUAAAAUUUUAGAUUUUAAAUUAAAUUUAAAUUUAAAUUCAAAUUUAUAAAUUAGUUUCGAAAUGUUUUAUUGAAUUUUAAUUUUUACUUUAAGUUCAAAUUAAAAUUAAAAUUUAUAAAAUAUAAUUUUAAAACUUAAAUUUAUGUUUUAAUUAAAAAAUAAGCUUAAAAAAUUAAAUUUAAUCCGAACAAAUUCAUUCCCUCCGGAUUCAUAGGCGGGAUUGAAAAAAGGGUAAUUAGGGAGAUUCCCAUUCACCCGAAAAUCGAAAUCGGAAUGGAAAUUCCGCAUACCAAACAUGGACAAAUGAAUUCGGCCAUUCCGAGUCUGAUUCCAGGGUGAAAAAUGGGUGAACCAAACACGCGCUAUAUGUAGAGAAAAAGUUUGGCGAAUGAAGAAAAGAACUUUAUUUUCUUCUGUAAAUGUUGGUAGUGUUUGGAUGCAAGUAUAUCUUUGAUUUACUUGAAAAGAUUGUAAUUUCCGAUCGGUAAGGAGUGUGAUCAAAUUGUUAGUCUCGGAAUAAGAUAAAUCAUUCUAUAUAUAAAAUAUACUGUUCUAUCAAAUCACGGAUAUAAUCUCAAUCUUGGAAGAAAAUACUGAGAUAGAACAAGUUAUCACUGUAUUCCAACAUCCAAACAAGGCCCACUGCAGACAGCGGCCUAGCAUAGACUGGCAUAGAUUAAGAAAAAUUUUCUGUUGUCCCAACCGAAAAAAGUAGGUGGAUGUCACGUCCCGGGCUUGAGCGGAAGCUUCUCCGGUAGCGUGUUCAGAUCAGCCGUGUGUACAUGACUCCCUCACACACACGAAGCGACAAUUUAGAACAUUUGACUCGUACACUCAGACCAGAUCAGCCAACUGGAAGUGUGAGAUGGGAUCCCACAUUACCUGAUGAUUUUGGACUAUGUAUAUAACUGUGCGGUUAUGCUUGACGAUGACGUCAAGGCUUAAAAAAGAAAACGUCUAGACAUCCCAAGACUUGAGAAUAGUUCCGCGUCAGAUAGCUAUAGUGAGAUAUGAGAGUAUAUAAACUUGAAUCGGCUAGACUCAAUAACUAGGCAGUAUCAUUUUGGGCUAGUGAAUUACGCCCAACAAACUAUUAGGUCUGGAUAUUCAGUUAAUCGAGUCGCAAGCUCAGUGACAAGUGGCCUUCUGAGAAGCAGGUCGUGUUGGUGGAGAAACUCCCUAUGUACACACGUUCGCUCCAAAUCUGUUCUCUCCAAAAACGUGGAAAAUAAAAUAAAAAAGGUAGCUUAUGAAUAGUACUAUUUCAACGGUUCUCAUUUUAAUAUAUUUAUGUUAUUUUUAAAGAUAUUUUUGAUACACUUAAUUAUAAAUUAUAAAAAGUAAAGAAAAUAGUGACAAAAUUCUGACGAGGAAGGAUUAAGUAUUAUCAACUUAAGAUUAAUGGGAGCAACAAUAAAAUUUUAGAACUAAUCUAUUAAAUUUUGCAUGAAUUUCUACUAGCAUGGAUAUUUGAGAAUAUUUUAAAUGUUUAUGAGGGCAUGGGUUAUAUUUUUGAUCUUUAAAAGGGGAUUCAUAAAAUUAUAACCUUUCACAAGUUUUGGUGGACCGGGUCUAUGAAAAAAAAAAUCUCCGCAUGUGGAGGCACGGCAAGCGACGAGAACCGGCCCAUCCCUAUCUCCAACAGGGAUAAGAUCCCCUUAGGUGCACGUGUCGCUUUAUUGUAAUGCCACGUGGCACCAUAGCACAGAUCCAUGGGACACGUGUCACGACGCCAACCAACUUUAUUUUACACAAUGCGUGGAUGUGGACGUGGGUGUUUUUUAUUGUCGCAUAUUACGUCGACAUAUGACAUGUAGGAUCCACGCGGGACGACUUUUUUGGGUUUUUUUUGUCCUUAUUUUGGUUUUUUUUUUUGUUUUUCGUUUUUUUUCAUUUUUUUUAUGCGGGAUGACUCGAGUAGAAGACACGGUGUGUUCUUUGGAAUUUUUCAAGUGGGUCCUUGUAAAUAAAAAAAAAUUAUAAAAAAAAUGGAAGAAUGAAAAUUUUGUGUUAAUUGUAUUAUUGGUCUCUAAUAUCUACCUAUUUUGUUUUUACUUAGGUCCCUGUUGGGGCGGAAAAAAUAGCACCAGCUAGUAAACGACUCAGUAUAUUAACUAAACUUAUAGUUCUGUUCUUUUUGUAUAUUGAGGAAGAACUCGGUAGAGCUAAUCCUUUCUCAACCGAAUCACUGAAUCUUAACGCAAUCGAAGGUUAAUCAAAGAACGAAUAUUCUCCAUCCGAAGGUGCAUUUGAUUCGGUCAACGACUUAACCUGAUCAACGUUCUCAGCAAUUCAGUUCGCACUCAAAUAGUCCCUAACCUCUUCUCACAUGUGCAAUCAUCCCGACAUCGCAUAUGAUGCUUAUGAUCUAUUUUCGAGUAUUCGACGUUUUUGACAUUAAGACGAUCGUGCUGUCAAAUUCUUUCAGAAAAUUUAAAAAGCCGAUGCAACCGUUCGAAAUAAACUAUUUAACUGUUCAACUUGAAUAAAUUAAUAAAAUUAGGUAGAUAUGUCUAAAUUUAAAAUUUAUGUAGUUAAUUUAAAAUAAGCUAUAGUUGAAUAUUGUUUUUUUCCCUAUUUUGAGAUAAAUAAAAAGAGGAGGCAUUGACUCAAGUAAACGCUGGCGAUUUGUCCUUUUCAUUUGCAGAGUGUAAGACGUAUCUUUGGAGAGGAUAAGUAAUGAGAUGGGCCACUCAAUGCAAUGGCAUGUUUUGUUAGGGACAAAAUAAAUCUUAGAAUAAGCGAAUGAUUUAAAAAUUGGGUUGAAUCGGCCAGUUCAAUCAGUCUGACUAUAUUCAAUCUAUAAAGUGGUUCAGUUUAAUUUUUUGAAUAGAAUAAAUCAAAAAUCACUUUGAAUCAUUUGAGCUGACGAUUCAACUAUCGAACCAGUAAACCGGUCCGCUUUUAACCAAACCAACAGGAUUGUUUUGUUCAAUUCAUUAAAAUUUAACUAUUUAAAAUUAAUUUAACUGAUUUUAUUUUCUAUUAGCACAAAUUAAUCUUAUAAAACGUAAAACUUGAAAAUUAAUAUUUAUUUAAUUUGGUCUAAAAAUCAGUAUUUUAUAAUUAAAUAUGAUACUAGAAUAAUAAUACAUUUAUAUAUUUUAUAUAAUAUAAUAAAAUAAUAAUUAAAUAUUUAUGAUGUUGUGUCGGCGUCACUUGUUCAAUCAGUGGCUUUUAUACAGAACUUAUGAGAACUAUAGACUAUUUUGAGUCGACUAUAUAACGUUUCAAACUUCUGAUUUUCUUUGUCCAAUCUAAUGAAUUUAUAAUUGCAAAAAUUACAUGAAGUACACGGGCUAAGUCUAUAAUGAUUAAACGAUGAAUUCAAAAUUUGAAAUCAAAAUAUCAUUGAUUGGCUCAAAUCAACCAAAUUAAAAGAUUGGACAAUAAAAACACAAUUUUGAAACAUUGGAUAGUCCAUUAAAAAUAAUCAAUAAAAAAUGAAAAAACUUUAUUUCCAAAUAACUGACUUUACACCAAACAAACAAAUGUGGAAAAACGAUUUUGGCUUGAAUUUUAUGUCAACUAAAAAUUAUUUUUAAUUUUAAUUCUGUCAAACGGAAUGAUAUGAUUUUGAUAAUGACGGAUAAAUUUAUUGAAUUUACUCAUUAUUUUUUGAAUAAUUUUAUUAAAUUUUGUGAAUCUAAUUUGCGGUUUUUUUUUUUUAAGGCUUAAUGCUCUUCAUUUAAUAAGUAAUUUUCUUUUAUAGUAUUAAAUAAAUUUUAUAAUAUUAAACUAAUCAUCCAAAAAUUAAUUGCAAACUUAAAAAAUUAAUCUAAUAUUAUGAAUGUUCAAUAUUGUGGUCCCACUAGAUAUAAACUCACAAAUCAAUAACAUUAAUUUUAAGUGACCUUAUAAUCUACGCCAAAAAUAAAAAUAAAAAUAAAAAUAAAAAUAAAAAUAAAAAUAAAAAGUAAAAUAAAAUACUGCUUUAUGGUAGGGAUGUAAAUGGGACUGAUCUAGGCUGCAGCCCCGGAUCCACCCUAUUAAACAUUUUUUUUAAAAAAAAUUUCUGUUCAAAUCUAAAUUAAAUAGAAUAAAUUUUUUAUUAUUUUUAAAUGUGAUUUUAAGAAAAAGGGCAAUUGCUUAUAUAUUUUUGAAAAAUUUUCGACUUUCUGAAAUUUUGCCUUUUCAAAUAUAUCUUUCUAUUAUUAUCGGCUUUUCUUAUUUGCCUUUAAAAGUUAAGUACAAAAUAGGUAUUUUGAUUUUUUUUUUAACUCAAGUAAAAAAUUUAACCCGAGUUCAAUUUGAGAUAAUUUUACGGGUAGUAACAAUGGGAGUAUUUUUUAAUAACAGAGAACUAUAUAAGGGGUAUAUUUGAAAAAAAAAAAGAAGGAUAAAUUAGAUAUUUCAAAAGUUUUAAGAAGCAUAUUAAAUAUUAUCCCUAAAAAUAUAAUCAAAGUAUUAUAAAAAUAACUAUAUAUUAGAUUAUAUUAGUGUUCGAAAGACCUAAUAUUUAAAACCCAUAAUAAUAUUUUUAAAAAAUGAAUAGUUGUCAUACUAUUACGUAAAUGUUGAUCCGAGACGAAUUUGGGGCAGGGCUUGAAUGUAUGGAUUUGGGACAGAUUUUGGAUGGAUUAAUUCUUUUACCUUGUUCCAAUUUGAAUCCAUUUUGGGUCAUAAAAAUACUUCCAUUUAUUGUGUCAAAUUUGUGUUAAAUUAUAUAAAUAAUUAUUUAUUUUUAAAAAUUUAAAUUAUCUGAGGAUAGUGUUUAUAUAUUUUAUAUUCAAUACUCUCCUCAAGUCUGGGCUCGAAAUUUUUUAAUAGAUCAAAGAAGUGGACUUAAUUAAUAGGAGAAAAUUUAAAAACAUCAGGAGCCUGAUGAGACACGAACUUAGGACACUCUAUUUUGAUACUAUGUUAUAUUAUAUAAAUGUGACACCCCAAUAAUCCCACAUCGGAUAGUUAUGACUAGAUAUGGAAGUAUAUAAAUUUGAUUGUCUAGUUGGGCUAGACAUAAUAACUGAGCUUAAGUAUUUUGAGUUAUAGUCGGAAUAACAAAGGCUAGUGAGACAAGUCUCACAUCGCUUGGUGAUCUUGGACUGUAUGUGUGUUUAGGACUGAUAGUCCCAUAUCGGAUAGUUAUGACUAGAUGUGGGCAUAUAUAAGUAGACAUAAUAACUGGGUUUAAGCAUUUUGGGCCGGUAGUUUGGACCCAAUGAGUUAUUAUUGCUAGCGGGUCAGGUCGUUACAUUUGGUAUCAGAGCCAGUUCACCGCCCGGAAGUGUAAGAUGAGUCUUGGCUGAGCCAGGGUCGGAAUGACAAACUAAGUCAGGGUCGGUGAUUGACAGGCUAAGUCAAAGUCGGAGUGACAAAGGCUUGCGAGAUAAGUCUCAUAUCGCCUGGUGAUCUUGGGUUGUAUGUGUUUAGAGCUGACAAGGACGUCAGGGCCUAAACGGGGAGAAUCUGUGACAUCCCAAUAGUCUCACAUCGGAUGAGAAUGGGAUUGUCAUUGGGUUUAUAAAAGGACUUCACCCUAGUAAUAAUAAUUGGGCUUAAACAUUUUGGGCUAGUAGUUUUGGCCCAACGAGUUAUUAUUGCUAGCGGGUCGGGUUGUUACAUUUGGUAUCAGAGCCAGUUCACCAGUCGGAAGUGUGAGAUGAGUCUUGCCUGAAUCAGGGUCGGAAUGAUAGACUGAGCCAGGGUCGGUGAUUGACAGGACAAGCUAAGUCAGGGUCGAAAUGAUAAAGUGAGGCAAGUCUUACAUCACCUGGUGAUCUUGGGCUAUGUAUGUGUUUAGGGCCCAAUAAUCCCACACUACAUGUAGGGCUUAAGCUUUGGGAGAGUCUGUGACACUCGGGAGUAUAUAAGCUUUAUUGAGCUAGACAUAAUAACUAGGCUUAAGCAUUUUAGGCUGGUAGUUUGGGCCCAACGAGUUAUUAUUACUAGCGGGUCACAUUUGGUAUCUGAGCCAGUUCAUCAGCCGGAAGUGUGAGAUGAGUUUUGACUCAGCCAGGAUCAGAAUGACAGACUAAGGUAGGGUCGGUGAUUGACAUGCUAAGUCAGAGUCGAAAUGACAAAUGCUAACGAGACAAGUCUCACAUUGUUUGGUGAUCUUGGGUUGUAUGUGUGUUUAGGACUGACAAGGACGUCAGGGCCUAAACGAGGGGAGUCUGCAACACCCCAAUAGUCUCAUAUCGGAUAGUUAUGACUAGAUGUGGGAAUAUAUAAACUUGAUUGUCUAGUUGAGCUAAACAUAACAGCUAGGCUUAAACAUUUUGGGCUUGUGGUUUGGGUCCAAUGAGUUAUUAUUGCUAACACGUCGAGUCAUUACAUUUGGUAUCAGAGCCAGUUCACAAGCCGAAAGUGUGAGAUGAGUCUUGGCUGAGUUAGGAUCGGAAUGACAGACUAAGCCAUGGUCGGUGAUUAACAGGUUAAGUCAGAGUCGGAAUGACAAAGGCUAGCGAGAUAAGUCUCACAUCGCUUGGUGAACUUGGGUUGUAUGUGUGUUUAGGUCUGGCAAGGACAUCAGGGCCUAAAUAAGGGGAGUCUGUGACACCCCAAUAGUCCUACAUCGGAUAGUUAUGACUAGAUGUGGGAAUAUAUAAACUUGAUUGUCUAGUUGGGCUAGACAUAAUAACUGGGUUUAAAUAUUUGGGCCGGUGGUUUGGGCCUAACGAGUUAUUAUUGCUAACGGGUCGGGUCGUUACAAUAAAACAAGAUUGGCAUCAAACUUGAGUUGGUAAAUGAGCGGAUUGGGUGAUUCGCAGUAGAUCAUCAUAUCUGCGGGUUACCCGUGCUCUUUUUUUAUUCUUAUUUUUUUCAAAUACAAAUUAUAUAGAUAUAAUUUUUAAAAAGCCAUAACAUAAUCUAUUCUUUAAAAUAUCACAAAUAUAUUUAAAAUAUCAUAAUAUACAAUAAAUAAUGUACAGUUUUAAAACAACACUAAGAAUAUAUAUAUAUAUAUAUAUAUAGGCGGAUACCCACGGGUAGGGGUGGCAAUCCAACUCACUGUUCAUAAGUCAGUUCUUGUUCGACUUAUUAAUAAGUGAGUCGAAUACAAGCUAAUACAAGCUAAAAUUUUCAGCUCGAUAUUUUAACAAGUCAGCUCCUAUUCUGUUCAUUUAUAAAACUAGCCAAACACGACCCGAUCCAAGCUCGCUCAUGUUUGACUGGUUGACACCACUACCGGCGUGUAUCUAUAGAUCAACAAAAAUAUUCAUAAUGGAUAUCCAUCUAUCUUAUCCGCAAUUUUUAGGUAAAAAAAUAAUGCUCAUACUCGCAAAUCUGCGGUAACAUGCGGAUAUGCCGUUAUAGGUAGAGAUUGUUGGAUCUGAAACUACUACUUUUUAUAAUAAUAAUAAUAAUAAUAAUAAUAAUAAUAAUAUCAAAUGUACUAAAAAUAAUUUAAAUUACUGACUAACUGCCAGAACUCUGAAACCAAUCUCUUUCCUGACUCGUUCAUGUGGGAGAAUUAGGUUUAAUUAUGCUUCCUACAUGCUAUUUAGCUACAUGCUUAACACAUUUCAAAUUUUUUAGGGUUUCUUUACUAUAUGUUUAACAACAUUUCAAAUUUUUUAGGGUUUCUUUACAACAUGUUUAACACAUUUCAAAAUUUUUAAUUUUCUGUAUACAUACUAUUUUUUAACUUUCCAAACGUUCUAUUGAAAUUGACCUUUUUUGGGCUAUAUUACACUCUUAAUCCUCAAAUUUUACUUUGCAAGAUACUUCAGUUCUUAAAUUUUAAUUUAUUGUAAUUUCUGGUUCGAACUUUGUGAGUUAUUGCAAUUAAGCCAUUAAACACAAUUUAACUGGCCAAAUGUUGAUGUGUUGGUAAUAUAAAAGUGAUGCAAUAGUAUUGCAAUUAAUAACAGAAUAAUACUAAGAUGUCAUAUCACUUUUGUAUUAAUGAAACGUUAAUAUUUAGUCAAUUAUAUUAGAGGCUAAAUUAUAUAAAAUUUUUCUGUAAAAAUUUAAUUUUUCACUUUUCCUCCCUGUCAUUUAAAAACCUACACUUUGCCCUCUCGUAAAAUGAAAAAUGUUCACAGGAGGUACGGUGUGAAAUGUGAUAACAAAAUGACCAUUUUGCUCCUUAUUAUUUUCGUCUCCUCCCUCAUCUCACUCAUCCGCUACCUCGAUCGACCGUAGUUCGCGUCUCGAUUCGCCGCGGUUUCUCUCCAUUUUCUUCUCCACCUGCUCCCCCUUCUCCUCCUGCACCCUCGUCGCCCUUCCAUUUCGGCGACAGUAGGCAGCAUAUCGAGGUGGGUGUGGAUGAAAAGGUAGGCAAGGGCAACGAGGGCGAAGGCGAGGCGGCGAAGGAGGGCGAGAGGGUGUUUCUGAGCGCGGACGGAGAUGUAGGCGAGGGCAAGGUAGUGAAGGAGGGCGAGGCGGUGAGGCGGAGGAGGGCGAAGCACAGUAGAAAGAGCGGAGGGUAUUUUUGGCAUAAAAAAGAUUUUAUAACAGAACUUUAGCGGAUCAUUAACAGUAGGGGGUAAAAUGAACAUUUUUCAUUUCACAAGGGACCAAAAUGUACGUUUUUAAAUGACAGGGGGAGAAAAUGAAAAAUCGGAUUUUGACAGAAAGAUUUUCUAUAAUUUAGCCUAUAUUAGAUUAUGGGAUUUAAUUAUAAUAAUUUAUAAAGUUCGAGCCAACAAUUACAAUAAAUUAAAGUUUGAAAAUUAAAGUGUCACGUGUAUCAUAGUUUGAGGACCAAAUAUAUAAUUAAGUAAUUUUUUCUUUUUCUAUUUAUCAGUAUACUAUUCAAUUAGAGUAAUGCAUUUAUGCAAAUUUAGGGAAUCUCAAAGGGAGACAUGUUACCUAACCACCCACUUCCUCACUUCCUUAAUUUUUUGUUAAUUUUUUUUUGUUAGCUUAUUCAAAUUAUUUUAAUUACUUUAUUUCAAUUUUUUUACUCAAAUAGUUUUACAAAAUAUUUGAGGGCAUUUUUGGUUCAAAUUGUUGUGGAAAUGAAAAAUAAAAUUGAAUUGCAUUAGAAUGAAAAAUUAAAUAAUGAAUUAUAUAAAAGUUUUUGAUUCGUUAUUAAAUUGGAAAUCGGAAUAGAGACCUAUAAUUUUCAAAGAAAGUUUUCAGUAAAAGAAAGAAGAGUGAUAAGGGAUGCAAAUGGAUCUGAGUUUGUGGAGCUCCCAGCCUGAUCUGCCCCGAAUGAGACUGCAAGUGGGAACCAAAAAUAUAUAAAAAUGCAACCUGUUCGGUAUCCCCAAAUAACAACUAUCAAAAUAAGCUAAACUCAUUCUGAUUCCAGAGUUUAGAAUAAGUGAAUCAAACAAGUUCUAAGUAUCCAUCAGUAAACACUAAUACCUCGCCUUACUCUCUUCCAUCUUAUAUUUUUUAUAACUAAAUUAUUAUAGACAUUUCAAACUUUUUUUCCCCUUCUUUUUGCAUAUAUAGUCUUAUAAAAUGAUCCAAUUUCCAACAUAUCCCCAUGAACUUUAUUUCUCGGAAUUUUAACCUUUUGGAAUAAAAUGCCUCCAUUCUUUUCAGAAUCGACCAAUCUACAAAUUAACUGGCAUAUUUAUUUUUCAAAUAAAGUUUAAAGAUGAAGAGAGAAGAUGAUAGGAAUGAAUUAAAUUGAAAACAUGUGGAGGAGACGGGAAAUAAUUUAUUUGCCUAUCUAUUAUCUCCCGUGUCAACAAAAGUAGAUUCAUAUAUAAUUUAGUGGACCAUAUUAGAAAUUGAUAUUUUUUCCUCUCACUACAACAGAAUUAGGUUAUAGGGACACAUGUUUGAGACACUUUUGAGUAAGCGUCCCAUUUAUGCUAAAACUUAAAACACAUCUACUAAUACCUAAAUAUAAAGCUCAAUCCAACUAAAAAUAAAAGAUUACUCUACUCAACCCACCACACCCAGUCCAUUUGACCCGAUUACAAACAGAAAAGAAAAAAAAAAAAGAAAAAUCAAUUACCAUCUUUUCUUCUCUCUUCACUCAAUCCAUUGAAAUUCUAUAUGAAGAGGCUUUACUGUCGUCCUCCUCCGCCACCGCAACCAACGAGAUAGAGUUUCGGCGGUUGCUAAAUGCUUAAGUAAGUGUUGGUAAAUUAGCAGCACUCUUUUAGGUUAUAGCGACACUCUUUAACUGUCACUAUAUACUUAGCGACCCCACAUAUAGCAACACUUUUUAAAAGUGUCGGUAAUUUUAGCUAGCAUCAUUUUUUUGACAUAUACCUAUAUUUAAAAGUGUCGGUAUAGACCGUUUUUGUUGUAGUGCCUUUUUUUUUUUUUNUACAAAAUAAUUAUAUGAAAUAUAGUAUUAUAAUAUAAAAAAAAUAAUUUAUAAGUUGAAUAUCUAAUUUUUUCAGCCUUAUAUGUCUUUUCUUCCGCCUUCAAUCUUUAUAUUAUUCAUUUUCAUUUAUGCAGUCAAAAAUAAAUAAAUUAUAUAGAUAAAUAUUGGAUUAAACUAUCCAAUCAUAUAUAACUAAAAUUAAAAUUUUAUAUGAAUAAUAAUUUUUUACUUUAAAAAUAUUCUGUAUAUUUUCUCAAGCAUACAAUUAAUAGCAAGGUAAGCAACGGCGGGCACAUGAUUUUACUUGGUAACUUAGAGGGCUUCCGGCUUAGCCACUUAGGGUGAGAGACAGAAAAAAGGAAAGAGAGGAAUAUAUUGAAAAUUUAGAGCUCUGUGAAAGAAAGAAAGAAAGAAAGAAUGAAAGGAAAAAUAUAUAAAUUUAGUAAAAUUUUACUCUUUUAUUUGUCUAUUGGGUUUAUUUUUAUAGGCCAACAAUAUUGGCCCAAUUUUAACUGCCUUCCGUGCUUCCAGGUCGUUUUUAAUGUUGCGACUUUCGAAUUGUUGAUCGGCUCCGUUAAACUUGAUCUAGAGUAUUUGAAGUACCUAGAAAAUAAAUUUUGCAAUUUUUCGAUAUCAUUUGCCCAGUAAACUAAGGGGCUCAAAAUCAACGGCUGAAAAUAAAAAUCUUACAAAACGUGAUAAUAUGACAUUAAAAUUUUAGAUCAAAGAUAUUGAUCUUGUUUUAUAUAGUACAAAAAAUUUUCUAUCAAAAUUUCAUGUGAUUUGGAUAUUUCUACACCGUUAAACUUGCAAACGGCUCACCACGGCCAUUAAAAUUAUUGAUUUUGAGUCCUUUCGAUCACUAGGCAAAUGAUAUCGAAAAAUUAUAAAAUUUAUUUUCUAAUUACUUCAAAUACUCUAGAUCAAGUUUAACGGAGCCGAUCGACGAUUCGAAAGUCUCAAUAUCGAAAAAAGACCUAGAAGCAGCACGGAAGGCUCGGCGUGCCUUACCAGAAGCAAUAGUCAGCCUCAUCUAUAUAUAUAUUAUAUAUAUAUAUAAGAAGAAGAGAGAAUAGGCUGGAAAAUACUAUUAAUAGUAAAACGUCUUUUUGCUAUCAAGUUUUUAACCCUCGGAUAAAAAAUUGUAGGUCAGGAUAAUGUUAGUCGUUUAGAGUUGAGUAUUCCCCUAGGGUUAGUGUCCCCAUGGGUUAUUAGUAUUUAAUCCAAUGGUUAGAAAUAAUAAAAAGAGUUGAAUCCAAUGGCUAAAAACUGGUAGCAAUAAUGGGAUUUUGCUACUAAUAGUAGCCCAGUCCAACUCUAAUAUAUAUAUAUAUAUAUAUAUAUAUAUAAUAUAUAUUAUAUAUAUUAUGUGUAACUACUAUGCUAUCGAAAUAUAAGGAUUUGAUGUUUUGAAUUUGACCCUUUGAUUAAAAAUUGUAUGGUGGAUGAUUGCGGUCUCCCUAGGAUUAAAUAAUACUUUAGAGUUGAGUGGCUCUCUAACAAGUAAUAAUAAUAUUAAUUCCAAAGAUAAGAAACGAUUAAAGGGAUUGAUUUAAGAAUCAAAAAAUCGAAAGCACCAGAUCUCUAUACUUUCGAUAGUAUAGUAGCUCUACUCUAUAUAUAUAUAUAUAUAUAUAUAUUCGAGCUUUUCGAGCCUAAUUCGAACGAGCCGAGUAAUACUCAAGCUCGGCUUGAAAUGAAUUUCGAGCCUUUUUUUUUGUUCAAGCUCGGCUCAUUUAAUUUCGAGUCGAGCUCGAGCAAGCCAAAUAUCGAGUCGAACGCGAGUCGAACGCGAGCCGGCUCGCUCAUUUGCCAGCCCUACUUAGAAGCGUCGGCAAAUAAAGAGCAACUAGGCAUAUGCCGAUGCCUGUGACAUACGUAAGUGCACGUGAAUCUUAGAACGAUUGAAAAUGGUAGUUAUAAAUUUAAACUCAUAAAAGAGAUACUGAGUCCCUGACCGAUUAAUUUUAGGUGCAUGUGAACAAUACACUUGAUAAUUUUAAGUGUGAAUGAUAUAAAUGAAUAGGCGCCUAACAUAUCACAUCACAUAAAUGUAUGUAUCCAACAUAUGAAGUCGUUACUCCUCUUAAAAGUUAAUUUGCACUGCGUACCGUUUGGUUCGCUUAUAAACAAGAAUUAACUAUUAUAAAGAUAGGUACAAAUAUGGGGAUAAAAAAAAUAGCGUUUGGAUGAAAAUUGGGUUGUUCCCGGAAAUAAAAAAAAUAACGUUUGGAUAGAUAAUAUAGAAUAAAAAAAUUAUUAGGUAGUUUUAUAUAAAAAAUAGAGGUGUUGGUGGGAAUAGUUAUAACCGGCUAUUAUAGGUAACCGAGAACUAGUGUUCUCAAGUAAAAAAUUAGCGUUUGGAUAUAAACUGGGGGAUAAGAGACUAUCCCUAUCCCUAUUCCCUAACUAAACACUGCCGUCGACGUCAGACGUGAAUAACGGGAAAUCAAACCAUUCAAAUGUCCUAAUGAAAGUUUUAUGAUGUCCUGCAUGAUGCAAGCAAAAAAAAGUAGGGAAAAGUCUUCUCCAUAAUCAAGAAUUUAAGUGUCUGUCGGUACGGAUUGUCUCUAUCGUGUCAUAUCGCUCUAAUAAGUAUUGACACGAUACAGCUCCUGUGCCGAUAACAUAGUUCAAAACUCUCUAUUAUUUAAAUUAGUAAGUAAUUUUCUUAAUAAAGUUGAAAAAAUUUGAUAAAAAAACUUAAUAAACAGUUAGAAUAUUUUAUUGCUAAAGAAAAUAAAUAUUUCACAUUAUUAUGUGUUGGCACACAUGAAUAUUUGUGACCGGCAUGCAUCGGUAUGGUCCGGCACACACUGUGCCGUACUGUGCCAGCAAAUUUUCAGUAUGAUUCCGUGCCACGGCACUUAAAUUCUUGACAAAUACUGCACCAUAUAUAUAUUUCUAGAAGUUUUAACUUUUUGAUACUUCUCGUGCUAGUUCUCGACAAUGAUAUCUCCCAAUUUAUGAUCGACAUAGAUAAAUAUUAUAUAUUUCUUAUGAACUUUAUAAGAAUCAAAUUUUGUAAUCUUUCAGUAUUACGUAUCAAGUGGUCCCAAGCAUAUCUUGUAAUUAUGCCUUUGAAAUUGGUUGGUUGUGAACUCACUUGAAAAAUAAGAAAUUAAUAAUAAUAAAUUAUAAAUUUUGGUUUUUACGUAGUUCGUGAUACGUAGAUCAUAUUUAGGGUUGUCAAUAGUCCAUUUUGUAUGCUCUAUUAUCGGAUACGACGUAAAAAUACGAAGAGGCGUUUGGAUUGGGUAAAAAAGGGGAGAUAAGAGGGUUAUCUUUCAAAUUAUUCAUCGGAUUAAGAUAAAACACCUUGUAGGUAAAAAAUAAAAUCCUAUUAAAUUAUGAAUGUCAAAACUUUUUUAAGAAUAAAAAUUAAAUUCCUAUUUUCUAAUUAUAUAAAAAAAAAUUCAUACCAAAUAAGUUAUUAUCAAAUAACUGAUUUCCAAUGUUCUUAAAAUUAGGUCGAAUAGCGACCUGAAAAUAUUAAUGGACAUAGAGUCACUGGUUCAGUCGGUCGGUCAACCACUAGUUGAACCAAUAACGUUAACAUGACAUCAUAAAUAUUUAAUUAUUAUUUUUAAUUUUUAAUUUCAAAUUUAAAAUAUGAAUUUAAAAUUUGAAACCUAAAUUUUAAAAUUUUAAAUUUUGAAUUUAAAUUUUAAAAUUUAAAAUUUAAAAUUCAAAUAUUUAAUAUUUAAAAUUGAAAAUUUGAACAUUUAAAAUUUAUAUCCAAAAUUAAAAUUUUAAAUUUUAAAAAAUUUUAAAUUUAAAUUUAUAAUGUGAAAACUAAAUCACAUAAUUUAAAUUUAAACAUUUAAAAUUUUAAAUUCUAAAAAUUCAAAAUUUAAAAUUUAUAUUAAAUUUAAAUUUUGAUAUUUAAAAUUUUAAAUUUUGGAAUUUAAUAUCUAAAUUAUAAAUUUGAAAUUUUAAAAUUUACAAUUUAAAAUUUAAAAUUUAAUAUCUAAAUUUAAAUUAUAAAUUUAGAAAUUUGAAAUUUAGAAGCUAAAAUUUGAAAUUUAGAAAUUCAAAUAUAAAAUUUAAAAUUUAAAAUUUGAAUCUAAAAUCAAAAUAAAAUUUUAAAAAUUGAAUUCAAAAUGAGAGUCAGAUUUCAAGAAGCGGAUUUUAAUUGCUUUCGAUUUUGGACUUCGAAAAUUAAAAAAAAUAAUGCUAAAAAUCAAAAGCAGAUUGAAAGGAGAUUGCCAAACAUACUAUUGAGACAAAAAUUAUUUUUGGAUCCAAAAUUAUUUUUUAAAAGUUAGGUCAAACACGUACUAAAUGAUACAAUAGUUGUUUUUGAACUAUAUGACAUCAAAUCAAAAAAGCAGAUAUUUAUAAAAAAAAAUUCAGCAUUUUAGCUGGAAAAAUAUUUUUUAAAAAAUUGACAUGGUGAUGCGUGCAUCUUGGUAAUCUUUUUUUUUUUUUGNCAUCAAAUCAAAAAAGCAGAUAUUUAUAAAAAAAAAUUCAGCAUUUUAGCUGGAAAAAUAUUUUUUAAAAAAUUGACAUGGUGAUGCGUGCAUCUCAAUACUAUUUACUUUAUUGCCAUUCUCCUUUUGCUGCUCCUCCCAAAAAUCUAUUUCAAUUUGAAUUUUACUUUCAGCGAAACAAACAAGCUUACAGAGUUCACAUUCGGUUUGAGUCCGAGCAAAAGCUGUAACCGAAAUUAUAACUAUUGGGUUCUGAAUUUACCCUCAUAAUCGAAAACAGCCUAAGCUUCAGGGUAUGUUCAUUUUACCGACGAUGGAGGGGCAUGAGAUGGCUUUUCGACUGUAAAUGCUUACUUUCGUUAUUUGAGUCUCCGUAGCUUCACCUUUGGUUGAACUCAAACUCUCCAAAAUGCAAAAAUAAUAAAAUACUAAUAGUAAAAAAUUUCACCUUUUACAUUAUUUAUUUUUUACCAAAUAAACAACAAAAUUGAAAGAACUGCAAUUCCAAGACUACAAAAACAAACAGUAAAAAAAAAAAUUACCGAAACUUUAAUUCACCCAAAAGUCCAUUUCAAUCUGAAAUUCACUUACGGAUUUGAUUUACACCUGAGCAAAAGCUGUAAGCGAAAUCGUAGCUAUUGGGUUCUGAAUUUUUAUCCCUGCAAUUAAUCAAAACCUUCAAGCUUCAAUUAAAGCCAUCUCUGUAAGAUUCAAAUUCGGAUAAAAUAUGAGGCAUCCAUAUCCAUUAGUAUAUAUCCCUAGUGGGGAUCCAAAUGGGGCGGAUCCGGAGACAAGUGGGGUUCCCCACCUCAUUUGUCGGGUUUAGGCAAAUUCGAAGCAGAUUAAUUUUACUUCUAAUUCUAAUCCCUACUUACCGCUUUAUUAGAUAGAGCGGGACUGCGGGAGCGAAUUUUUAGCGAAACAAGACGGAUCACGUAAAAAAAGAAUUUACCGCCUCCCGUUACAUUUACUUAACUUUUUUAUGUUUGUUAUUCCCACAUACUAAUCUAUUCGAGCAUGAAUCGGGACGAGAGCCCCUUACCCCUACUCUCCUAUCAAGGGGCAUCAAUGCCAACGCAAUUAGAAAAUUAUCCCUUAUUUAUUUAUUUAUUUAGUUAUCUUAUUUAUUUAUUAAAAAAAUUUGAAAAAAGAGGGUUCGGGGAGGUGGGGGAGUUGACCCAAGAGCCAUUAAAUUCGGCGGGAAGAGAGGGAGGAGGAAGGGAGGUGGAGCACCAUUUCCCCCCCCCCCCCUCUCUCUCUCUCUCUCUCUUCUUCUCUCUCUUACUUCUUCUCUCUCUAGGUGAUUCGAUCUUCUAGGGAAAUUAGGGUUUCUUUUUUUUUUUUUUUCUUCUUAUUUGUUGGCUUUUUUUCUUUUUCUUUCUUUUUUUUUUUUACAAAAAGAGUUUUUUUUUUUUUUGAAUUUUGGGGUUUUUUUUUUUUAUUUUUUUUGUUGGGUGAAAAGAGAUGUCGGCGGCGACUUUGUGUGCUGGCGAAGGGCCGGCACCGACAACGCUACGACGACCAUUAUCGUCUCGUUGCCGGGUAAAUCUUUUUUUUUUUUUUUUUUUUUUUUGCCAUAUUAUUGUUUUUUUUUUUCUUUCUUGUAGAGUGAAGUAUUAAGCCAAAAAAAAAGAGAAGAGGGAUAAUGAGAGCAUGUUAUGGCAAAAUAAUCAUUUUUUUUCAAGUAGCAUUUGUUUCUUGUUAUUUUUUUGUAAAACUACUAUUAGUUGAGAAUAGCACAAAAAAAAAGAAAAAAAAAAAAAAAAAAAGUUCAGAGAGAGAGAGAAGUAACUAUAUUGAAUUUUUUUAGAUUUUAUUGUUGUUUUUUGGCAUGCCGUUUGAAAUAGUGUUUCUGAGUAGAAGUGUGGAGUGGGGUUCGGCUGCAGUUUAUAGAUCCCGAAAGUAGAAGCUCUAAUUUAAAAUUUUUGAAGCUGUUGACGAAGAGUCUAAUUUGAAGUGGAAGAUUUUGUUUGAAGCUUUGGUUUUUAUCGCUACGACAAAUUAUUAAUGAUUCCUUGAUCAACUAAAAACCUUUUCAAUCUACAUUGACAAAAUCCCAAAAAGUAGAUUGUACACCUUUUUUGUGUGAUUAACUUCUCCAUCAAUGUUUUAUUGUCUCCUUUUGCCCCAGCAGAUGCAUUCCUUACAGGCUAAAGGAAACAGGAGAGAAUCAUCAUCAUAGUCAUGAUUUGUUAGAUAGGCUACAAGUGCUUAUGAUUUCUACCCCAAAUAGGACUGACCUUGUUUUCCCAAAGGUGAGCAUAAUUUUUUUUUUUUUUUUUAAAUUCCUUAAAAGUAUCUCUAAUUAAAGUUUGGAAUCUGGAAAAAGUUUAUGUAAUUGGUUUAAAUUUCAUAAAAAUGGUUGUUAGGGUGGAUGGGAGGAUGAUGAGACUGUAGCCGAAGCCGCAUGCCGCGAGGCCCUGGAGGAAGCUGGAGUGAAGGGUAUCAUCAGUGUAAGAAGCUUAAUCUUUAAUCCUUAUUUCAUAUUUGAGUUGCAUUUAUCCAUAAAUUUACGAAUCUAACUUCGAUUUGGACUCGAAAUAUCAAGUUAGAGAUAAACUUUUGAUGUUUGGUGAAUUCGUUUCGUAGUUAAGUUUGUUAUAUUUUCUCCGAAGACAUUUCGUCGCAUCGCUAGAUUAGGUACUGGAAUUUUGUUGUCGGCUUUGGGUAGAGCAGUUCGAAGAAGCAUUACCACCUUUUUCACCUAAUCGACCAUACCAACUUCUCUCUAUCGCAGCUUUGACGACCUAGAAACUCGUUUCAGCUUUCCGUCACAACGAAAUCUCCAGAGAUUUUCAUUUAUUGCUAUUUUAGCUACUGAUUCUCGAGAAGAGAAGCUACUCCCAAAAGUUUGAUCCCUAAGAGAAGGAAUAGAUCUCGAAAAAGUUAGAUUGAUCAUAACCUGAUGAUUGAUCAUCAUGAAUUAUUUCUAUUCAAUAUCAAUUCACAGAAGCUUUGAUGAAACAGGAAAUUGAUAAUGUUAUUUUUUUAACCUUGCUGAUGUUGUGGUGCCCACUGAGGUGUUAGUUUUUGUACAUAUCAUGUGCUUGUGAUUUUUGCAGUAGAUUCCAAACACUUAAUGGUCCACUUGUCAUAGUUUAUUCGCCAUUAAAUAAAUAGCCAUGUCCUUAAAAUAUACUUUUGGUUAAUAACUUCCAGUCAAAGCAGCUCAUUAUUAAAAUGGAAUGGGAUGUAUUGUUUCCUGUUUGGUUUAUCUCCUCUGCAGUCUCUUGUUUGUUGUCGCUUCAGCAAAAUCAAUCUCUUGGACUUUUGUUUCUGUCGAAAGAUUUCACAUGACUUUUCACAUUUUCUGUCUUUGUUGAGAAUCUGCAAUCUACUCUGGUACCAUUUGAUGUAAAUUCGAUACUCAUUCUGGUACCGGUUGUUGGGAUUCCGUAAUGAAAGCGUCUUUCACAUUUUUUUUUUCUUUGUUGAGAAUCUGCAAUCCGCUCUGGUACCAUUUGAUAUAAAUUCAAUACUCAUUCUGGUACCGAUUGUUGGGAUUCCGUAAUGAAAGCGUCUAAUUGGAAUUUUACUAUAAACCCGUUCCCUCAACCAAAAUCGGCACAUCCAUAAAAGAGGGGAAAAAACAAACAGAGAAAUAUAGGUGACGUAAGACUCACUAACCAGAGAAGAUUACACUCGACUCCUCUUCUGCAACAAAGUGGAUUCAAUCUGAGCCCUAUUUCUAAAUCUCCCACCCUCUCUUUCAUCUUCUAAUCUAAAAGACCUCUCUCUUUUUGUGCUCCGCACACAAGGUAUAUCAAUGAAUCACAGCCACGAAAGGCAGUCUUACGUUUUGUUUACUAGUUUUCCUUCUUGUUGGCGUUUUUUUCUUGCUCCUUUCUUAGUGUUUGUGCGACCCAACUUUUGAAUAACAUAUCUAAUACUCCACAAUGCAAAAGCUUCUAACGUUUUCUAUCAGAUCGAUCUUUUUGGUACCAUUUCAUCAAAGCCGUUCCUAAUUCCCCUUAAUUCCAUGGGGCUCUUCCACUACCUCUCCUAUAGCAUGCGCAGCAAUAUGGUUCAUCUAACACUUUUUCUGAUUCGUUUCCUAUGAGGAAUUUUUGGGAGUUUGUUAUCUAAAGAGAAGUUAAAAUGAGUUUUUGGGCACAAAGCUUCUACGGCAACGAGAAGUUGUAGAGAGAAUCUUAAUGGAAAAGCUAUUAGCGAAUCUUUGAACAGCCGUAAAUUAGCGUGUACUCGCGCUAAAUUGAUAAUUUGAUUUUGCAAUCACCAAUGAAGGGGAUUGUAAUUUAUCUUAAAACUUGUUAUUUCUUUAGGAAGCUCCACUGGGAGACUGGAUAUUCAGAAGCAAGAGCAGCGAGAACAGCAGCAGCCCACAAGGAGCUUGCAAAGGCUACAUUUUCGCGUUAGAAGUUACCGAAGAGCUCGAGUUUUGGCCUGAGCAGGCUAACCACGGGCGGCGAUGGGUCGGUAUUCAAUCACAGUUCUACCUACAUAAGAUCAAAUAUACAUCAGUAACUCGAGAACUCUUUUUGAAUCUUUUCCAUGAAUAGGUAUCGAUGAGAGAUGCGUACGAGCUCUCACGUUACGAGUGGAUGCGAGAAGCUCUCGACGCGUUCCAGAAGCAGCUCUUGGGGGGUAAGAUUUUGGCUCAAUCAGCCAACAUGUCCGAGCCGUCGAGCUUGUGCAUGAUGCUGCCUGCUGCAGCCGAGCGAGCAAUCGCGUUGUGCUGAAAGUGUGCGCGCAGCUUCUUGGAAAAGCGCUUCGUCUGCCGGUGCUUUUUCUCGAAACCAGAUUUUAUAAUUUCCUCUUUUCUGCUUUCUCCGCGUCGAAGAUCAUUCUGUGGAGUUUCAGUUUUAGUGCUGAAAAAUGUUAAUUGUACCACUCCCUGUUUCUAUGGUAAACUUUGUUGUAGCACAAAUUGUGGAAUGAGCUUCUGGACUCAAAAGCAUAUGAUUCAAUUCCCAGGUUCUCAAAAAUAAGUAAAUGAAUGAAUAAAUAAAUAAAUAAAUAAGUAGUAAAGGGAAAAAAAGAAUUUGCUGUAGAGUUAUUAAGAGAAUAUUAAAGUAAAAAACAGGCAUAACUUAUUUGAACUCUAAAAAAUUUGAAUUUCACUACCCAAUAUUUAAAUAUUUUUGAUUUUAGUCCGUUAACAAUAUUGGUUAAAAACUUAAGCUAAUUAUUUAUUUUAAUAAAUCUAUAAUUAUAAUAAUUGAAUGAAGUGCACUAACUGAACUAAUAAAGGUAAACGAUGCAUUCAAAUUUUAAAAUUAAAGCAAUAUUUACUGACUCAAAUAAAAAAAUUGUAGUAUUGGGUAGUGAUUAUAAUUUUCAAAUGUUGGUUAGCUGACUCAGAAUUGUCUACAGUUCAAGUAAGUUUUGUACAUUUUUAUUAAAUAUUAAUCAUAAAUAUAUUUGAGUUACUUUACGAACACUUCUGUAGAAACUGUAACGAACACAUCCGCCUUACGAGUAGUGAGAGAACGACAGGUAACUAGAGCAUGUCUCUUGGCAUGAACAUUUUGUUCGACCACAUUUCUUUUUUAAUGAAUGGUAAUGUUGUAAUGGAUGGGCGAGGAACAUGAUCGAAAGUUUACAACAAUGUAUCAAAUCAUUAGCGCCAACUAUUAAUCCAAAAGUUUGAGCUAUUAGAAACACGCAACUAAUUCACUUAACACGUACGGAUAUAGCACUCAGGGGUCUUGAUUGUUGCUCAGCCCAAUCAGACCUCUCGUCAUUUUGAACGUAACUCGGCUCAACCUAGCCUUCCGUUACAGGACAAGGACAAGAUGCUAGUCCGUCUAUGCCAACUCCAUAGAUGAGAAUUUGAAACGUAUUUGUCCAUUUGUAGUCAUGUUGUUGAAAGGCCAGAGACCGAAAACGCCCGGCACAGUUAGAAUUGGCCCAAUGCCUAGCCCAAAACAUAGAAAUAGGCCCAGAAGCCCAGGCAAAGCCUAUUAUGGAAUGAAUCUAUAAACUCUUAUGAAUCCCCGUUUUCUUUUGUCCACGUGGCGUCAUUAGCUUAAUUUUAUUUUUGUGGGCCCUACCUGUCAUCUUAACCUUUUUUACUUAAUUAUUUAUUAUGGGGCCCACCUGAGUUUUUUUUUUUAUUUCCUUAUCUUUUUUCUUUAAUUUAUUCAACCAUUCGCCCCCCUCUACUCGCCCCUCUACAUGUCGAGGCCGCACUACCCUCUAGACGUCGCUCUGCCUCCCGAUGCCGCACUGCCCUCUAGACGCCGCUCUGCCUCCCGAUGCCGCACUACCCUCUAAACGUCGCUCCGCCUCCCGAUGCCGCAUUCCCCUCUAGACGCCGCUCCGCCUCCUGAUGUGCCCUACUGGACAGAAAUUUUGGCCGAGUUCGUCGUCGUAGACCGUCCGCCUCUCCACAGCUCCUCCCCUUCCAUUUUUUUUUUUUAUUCCCCAGCCGCCCCUAUGCGUCCUCAUUCUUCUUAGGCUCCGCAUCUCCACCUCUUCUCCUCCUCUUAACCCUCUCUCCCACUCCCUUUCCCUCUUCCUCUACAUCAUCCAACAUAUUUUUAAUGCCAUUUUUGUGGGAAAAAAGUAUACUCUUUUUUUUUUUUUUGCUGUAAAUUGUUCUUUUUUAGUUUAUUCGGGUUUUGGUAGGUGCAAAUAGGGUCUUGCGGCGGAGAGGGACGAGGCGUCGAGGGGAGUUUCUUCUGGUGGUGCUGGUGUUGAUUCUAUUGGAGGGAUGUUGGCAGGAUAUGGCAUGGUUCAUCUUCCUACCAAUUCUGUAGAUUUCAGGUGAAAUGCGCAUAUCGAGCCUUUUCCAUGUAAUAGUGCCAUUUUUGCAUGUUAUGUAUUACAGUAGUGUAGGCAAUUCUACUUUUUUUUUUUUUUUUUUGAGCUGUGAACUACAACAUUAAUUUAGCCCCUUAAUGCAUCUUUUUACUGUUGUCAUAUCGAGAUAUUUGGGUAAUAUAUUGAAUUAUGAAACCAGUGCAGUGCAAGGUAGUAAAGGCUCCUCCAAGAGCUUCCCGAAGCAUGAGACUAGACAUGUUUCAGAGCAUACGGUUUUGGAAUGAUAGUUUGUCACGCCUUUCGUGGUUUUCUCAAAAUCCUUCAAGUAACUGGGCCUUUUGUUAUAUUACUUGCUGACAGUAGCCUUGAGAAAGAAUGAACGAGAGCAACAUGUCCUCGAUUUCCUUACCUCCACCCUUCGCCUGAUAAGUUCGCCGCCCCCACGACGUCCGCCGAACUCGAAAUCAACAAUAGCACCACCCUCCGCUGAGCCGAGCCACUAUCGUAGCGAAUCCCCUCGCUUGUGGCAGCGACGUUGAGGGACAACUCCUUCGAUCUCUACCUCUCUUUGUUUUGCUCUAUAAUUAUGAUGUAUUUUCGGUGAUUUCGAGAUGAUUUAGGUGCAAGAUUGUAGGCAGCUGAGGAUUUGGCAUUGAAGAAUAUGUUGAAGGAGUUCUUGAUUCGGAGGUCGGCAUUCAGAAACUUGCCCUUGAAAGUAUGAGGUAAUUUUCUAAGUUUUGAUUUUAAUAAGCAAUAGUUCACUGUGUCUAAUUCCAUCUGUUUCUGAUCGUACAGUCCCAAAGCAAGAUUUGCUUCAAACUCCAAAUCAAAUUAUCACCUUAAUUUUUACUGCCAACCACCAUUAAAAAAGACAAAAAAUACAUAUAAAACAAAACAAAGGGAAAAAAAGUGAAAUACAUAUAAAAUCCACACUGAAACAAUGAUUUGCAGGGAAUUACAAAAGAGGUGCUGCUGUGUACUAGAUCAAAAUAAACAAAAUAAACGAAAUUGGAGCUAACUUGGAAAUUAAAAUAUGCGGCCUAGAGUGUAAUAUUGAUUGACUGGAAAAAUAAACAAUGGUUGAGCAAAACUAAACUAAUAACUAAACUUAUAGCUAACUCUGAAUUUAAAGUAUGCAGCCUAUAGUAUACUUUGAAUUGAAAACUACACUUUUAAUAGUUGAGCAAAACUAAACAAUGGAGAAAAUAAGAUACUAUAAAAAUAGACUAUAACAUCGAAACCAUGCUAUAUCAAAUAACUGAAAAGUUACAGAUUACAGCGAAAUAAAGUAAGGACCAAAGUGUCGGCCAGCUCAUAGUUUGAGACAAAUGUGCAAUUUACCCUAAAACUAAUAAUAACAAUUGACUCAACUACCCCCUCUUCAUUAUCUGUGCACAUGUAUAAUCUGUUCUAAUUAGGUACUAUGAAAUAUCACAUGUCGACCAUUAAUACCAAUACUAAUCUAUACUAUCUUAUUGACUUAGACAUAGGAAACAUUGACAAUAAGUACUACCUCCUCUAGCUAGCAACUCUCUCAGAUGAUGUUCUGUAAGGUUUUUGGCCUUAGGAUGCAGCUAAUUUUUUUUUACUUUUACCUUCCAAGAAGAAAGAUAGCAUGUUACUCGCUUUAUUCAUAAACAAAAUUUACUAAGCUAUAAAAGUAAGACAGAGAACGUAUACAGACCAACAAUUCGACUUUAGCAUGCUCAAAUUGCCAAUACCUUUUUGAGAGGAAACACAAAUCAUGUUAGUCUAGCAAUAGGAAUGAUAUUCCAAGUACUGAUAGCAAAAUUAGAAAAUUACAAAAUAAAACCAGGUUAGAAUACCUUCGAAAUAUCUGAGUGGUAAUUAAGAAAAAAAGAUAUUCCUUCAUCAUUAAUGGUCAAUAAACAUGUUUUCUCCUGCUGCAACAACUAUCAGUCAACUUAGCUGAUAAAGAGGCUUGAUUUCAAAACAACAUAGAACCUUCAAACUGCAAGUUUGCACUUUCCGAUAGGACCUUGAUGUGGCUAGAGUUGGACCGGCUUUGCUGAUAGCAAAGUAGCAUUGUGGAAAGUGCUUAUGUAUAUCUUUCUUGGCCUCAAAGAUGGUCAAGCAUCCAAAGCAUGCAAUGAAAUAAGUAACAUUAUCCAACAUCCACAUAUAUUAGAGAGGGGUUAGUUAAUAAUUUACUCGAAGUUUGUUCAAUAUCGCACAGUUUUAAUUCUGACAAUUUAAUCAUUGAAGUUUGCAUCGGAAAACUACUGUAUCCCUCUAUCUAGAGACCGUCUAAAUCCACAUAGUUUCAGUUUUGACAAUUUAAUCAUUGAAGUUUAUAUUGCAAAACCUAAGAAUCAUGAUGAUAGUGCAUCUCUUAAAGAAGAUAGACUACCAAGGACUAAAUUGCUAUGACAAACAAACUUUAAGUAACUAAAAUGGAACUCUCAGGAUACAGCUGAAAUUGGAUCUAAAUUCUAACUAUCUUUCAAAGUAACUGAAUAAAGAUAAGAGUUCAUUUACAGAAUCUUUCUAUGUGAGAGAUCAAAAAGACAGUAAACUGACUACAAAAGAAACAUAAUAAGCAGACUUUUCACUGAUGAAAGUGAUUCUUCCGGUAACAAUUAACACCAUUUUUUGGAAUUGCAUAAAUUUUGUUCGGUAUCCACAUUUCGUUUAUAGAAGUUAACAAUCUCAACCUAUUGGAUAUAUUCAACAUAACAAGUGCAUUUUUUUUUCUAAUUGAUGGCAAUUGGAUAUAUGCAGAUUCUAAAGCUGGAACUGUUCAGAUAGAUUUGCAGUAUAUAAUGGAUUUUUUUUCUAUGUAGAUUUUACCAGAAGAUCAAUUGACUUCAUGGAACAUAUAUGGGCAUACCGGUUCAGUUUUCAUUCCUUUAAUUUGUCUAAAUCAAAAUUGACAUGGAUGAAAUUGGUGUUGCUAAUGAUCUUGAUCCUAAAUAUAUUUCUUAUCACAUUAUUGCAUCAAAUUAAAGGAAUUGAUUUGAAUUUCAAUUUUGUUGCAAAAUCGCCAUGUCCGCCAACAAAAUAUUUCUCGGUAAUUCUCUUCAGUGUUUUCAACACCUUUUGAUACCGAACCUUCGAUGUUUCAGUAGAACCUACAUCGAAUUGAUCAAGGUAUGCUGAACUUAGAAAGAAAAGGAGAUUUGGAAAGAAUUGUUUAAUCAGAAAACUGACAUUUAGCUAGAAUUGUGUUGUUAGUCGACCCUUCUUCCCGUCGCGCCGGUCCCGUUAGCGACGCUUCGCUUCGUCUUAGUGAUCCCCUCCGGUCACGAAAAUGGAUCGGAUUCAUUCUCCACGCUCCCUUCUUGCUGCCUAUAUAAUAUGCCUCUGUAAAAAAAUUAUUUGCAGCAAAAAAAAAACUAUUUCUCUGCUGGUUCAGUAUCAACUAGGAUGGCAAUUACAAAAUAAUUACAACCGAUGAUUCUCCCCCAGCAAGGGAUACAUACGCGGCACCUUUUCUUGAAGACUGCUGAAAUGAGAAAAAUAAAUUUCUUGACUAUUGAUAAUAUUCAUUACAUGUCUCAGCCUAUAGUAAAAAUAGAAUUUUAUUAGCUGUUGUUCUUUUUUUUUUUUCUCAAAUUUCUACUGCUACUGCUUAUGCUAUUUUCUUCGUUUGUUUAUUGAAUAUUGUUUUCGAUUGUUCUAUUUUUCUUUCGCUUUGUUUGCUCUCUAUAUUAUUUUUCUCAAUUGUUGUGAUAGUGUUUUUUUACUAUUCCUAUUUAAAAUUAUUUGACUAUAAGUUCUGCAAUUUAUAUAUUUUAAUUAAUUUUGUAACUUGCUGCUUCACUUGAUUUUGUACUACUAUAGUCGUAUAUUUUUGGGACAGCCUGUUAGUAAUAUUUUAAAACCAACUUUUCCUAUUAAUCCUAUUUCAUUCUUUCCUUCAUUCCUUACUGACUAUUGCAUUUUCUUUUAACCAACUCUGCAAGCCUUUCUUCGACUUCUACAAAUCUAAAAUUCAUUGUAUUUAUGGUCGUUGCUACUACUGUUGCAUUAACUACUUACACUUUUAUUUAUUUGUUACUUAAAAUUUUUUAAUUCUUCUUAUAUAUUUACUAUUUCGUCUUACUUCUGCUUUUUCUACAGAAUCUCAAAUAUUUUUUCAAUUUAACUAUGCAUCAAAUUUUAUUCUCUUAGUUCUAUUUUUUUUACUCUUAUUUGUUCUCUAUGUUGGAAGUAUGAUAUAUUAUUUAUAUUGUAAGGAAGAUAAUCAAAUAUUAUAAUUUAAAGAGAAGAAAGAAUAAAUGUUUGUACAAAAACUAAAGUUAAAUAUCAAAUAUUAUAUAUCCGCUGCAUCGCGCGGGUUACUACACUAGUAUUAUUAUUACACUCAACCAUAAAAUUUGUUGGCAGAUGCAUACCAAAAUUAUCGGGCGAUGUGAGAUUUUAGAGGUGGCUCCUACAGGUUAGGACUUAGCUCUCACAAUAUUCGGCUCUGAUACCAAUUGUAACGAUUCGACCCGCUAGCAAUAACAACUCGUUGGGCCAAAAUCACCAACCUAAAAUGCUUUAGCCUAGUUAUUAUUACUAGCGUAUAGAUCUCAUAUAUUCUAAUCAGAAUUAGUUUCCCACAAAAUGUGGGACUAUUAGAGCAUUACAAAUAUAAAAUAAAACAUAACCGCCCCAAAUUUGUCCCGCUCUGACAAAAAAUAGAGCGGGAGGUGGGGGAACCCUCCCGUCCCGGGGUCCAUUCUUUUUGCAUUCCUAUGUUUGGUAUUGAGGCCUAUUUAAUGCUAUUGAGCCAAAAAGAGUUGGGCUAAAGCAUAUAGAAAUAUAAUUCUCCAUUUUCGGUAUAGCGGCAAACAUUAUCAAAUUAUAACAUAACCAAAUCAUUGUAAUAUACUAAAUACUUUUUAACCGAGACAGACCGAAUAUAUUUACUCAUCGCAUUCUCCUCAUACAUAAUGUAUAUAUUUUUUCUACAAUCCCAAGCAAAGCUUUAGAAUACUUUGGAAUUAGGGCAUAUGACAAAACCUUGCUGUACUUGGAUUGACGUAAUUGUGGUUUGGUUGAAAAUAGAUUUGGUGAGAGCGAAAAUACUAGUCUUGUAUUUUCACAAAAGAUAACUUUGAGCCAUUUCUGAGAGAAUUUGAUUUUAAGAAUCUAAGUAUCUGAUCCAAUAGUCGGCAUACACAAGAUUAAACAGUUGACGGACCUAUGGAAGAAAAAUUAGGCCGGAGAAGCGACCCAUCGGUUAACGUUAGAGGGUGACCCAACUGUAAACUUUUUUUUUUUUUUUUUUUUUUUUUUUCGCCAUCCUUUGAGGCCUGUGAUGCCUCACCCAUGUAGCUUAAUUCACUUUCUAACUGAAUGAAGCGGGUAGCGUGCUACAUUUCUCUCAAAAAAAAAGAAUUUAAGUAUCUGUCUACAUACUGAAUCUUCUCGGUAUCUUCAUGAUGGAUAGUAAGACUAAUAUUUCGACACUUAAUGAAGUUGAGAGAGAGAGAGAGAGAGAGAUCCACAAAGGGAUUUGUUAUCGAAUAUACAUGUAUUGACAAAUUUAUAUGGCAUUUUGGAUUGCAUAUAUGAAGCAAUCAAAAUUCUUCACAUCAUAUAUAUUAACAUAUUAAGGAUCCCCAAAAGCAGCAUUUUAAAUAAUGCAUGUUAACCAAAAGACCGAUAGAUAUGCAUGAUAGGAUACAGUCUAAAGAAUUAACACCCUCAUUCACGUGCAUGAUAGAGAUUAGGUAAAUUAUGUUAUGUGCUUUAAUAUGAGUAACAAAAUGGACAAUUAAAUAAUUGACAAGAAUAUAUGCCAGAAGAUAAGGGGUGUCGGAACUAAAACCUGGAACAUUUCAGAAUGAUGGGUGCUUAAGACUUUUUCUGAUAUCAUAUUAGUCGAAAGAUCAAUCUAAUAGAAAAUAGCUAAAAAUUAGUCUCAACAUGCAUGUACACCUCAAAUGUAUGGUCGAAAUUCUAAUUGUUUUAUAUUGUAUCAAAGCAGGAGGUCAUAAGUUCGAAAUAAACAUGUUCCCUUUCCCAUUUGAUUUUCUUUCCAUAAUUAGUUCAACCACAUCUUACGCUUAUCAAAAAUCUCAAGCCUAGACAUGCGGGAAGAAUUUAUAGAACAUAAAAUAGUAAAGCACAGUUCUCUACCAACUUGAAUUUCAGAUAUAAUCGCUCAUUGCACAUAUGAUAAAACGUGUAAGUACAUAACAAUACUCUAGCCACAGAUGUUACCGCACUAAUGGAAACAACUAAACGUGCCAACACAUACUAAAAAGGAAGCACACAAAUUAGUACUAUAUAUCUCUCAAUUGAUGUGCACCAAAAACAAAAGUUGUUUAAACUACAUAUCAGAGAACAAUAUUUUUAAUAUUUAUAUUCAACAAUGCUUAAUUAAUAUACAGAGAGAGAAAAAGAAGGCCUAAAUGCUAAGGUAUAUAAGAUAUAAGAUAGCAGUUAUUCUCUAAAAAUUUAAGCUAUUUAAGACUCCUCUCACAUCUGAACUCGAGAUUUUUUGAUAUGCCCAUAAUAUGGACUUAAAUUAAAUGGGAGUUAACUCAAUUAUAUUAGGGGUCCGACGGGACUCGAAUUUGAGACCUUCGACUCUGGUACCAUGUUAAAUUAAUUAUAUGAAAUAAUCGCUUUCUCUAAAAGUUUAAGCUUGUAAAAGAAUAAGAGAAAUGAUUCGGUACCUUUUAAAAAAUAAAAUAAAAAAAGAUCUUAACCGUUGAUUAAUUGAGGGUAAAAAUGUAAUUUUAAUACUUAGUAGGUAAAAGAAUUAUUUUAUUCAAGGUUAGUUUGGUAAUUAAAUAACACAUAUUUAAAGAAACUUUUAAUUGAGGUCCUUAAUUUAUGCAUUAAUUAGCACUAAUUAGGAAAUUAAUUGAUUAACCAAAUUUAUGCAAUUAUUAGGCAUUAAUUUAGGAAUCUACUUUAAAUGUUUUAGUGUUUCUCAAAUUAUGCAUUAAUUUAAAUUAUAGGAUUUAGAAAUAGUUUUAUUUCUAAAUACGAUGAAUUUAAAUUUUAAAAAUUAAAUACUUAAAAUUUAAAAGUGAAAUUUAAAUUAGAGGAAUUUCAUAUUACUAUUUAAAAACUAAAUUUCUACCAAGAUUUAAAAUACAAUUUAUUCGCACCAGUUUAAAAAGUAAUGUAUAAAAAACUUGGAGAGUAAGAUUUUUACAACUAGAUUUCUCUAGAGGAAUUUCAUAUUAUUAUUUAAAUUUAAAUUCAAUGAUUUAAAAACUAAAUUGAACCGAUUGAUUUGACUGAUCAGAUUUUGACCUAUUCUAUCAAGAAUCUGACUUUAACCUAUUGAACCGAAUAACAUCAAGAACAAUUUGAAACCAGUAAAGAUAAUAAAUAUUUUAAACAGAAUGAUAAUUUAACUGUUUGAGCUAAUAAAUAUUUUAAACAUAAUUUUAAAUAUAUAAAUUAAAAAUAGGAUUAUUGAUGAGAAAACAAAUAGUUAGGAAUUUGAAAUCGAAUCUGAUUAACAAUCACAAAACUUAUUUCCGAACUCAACGGAUUUCAAAAAUCCAUAUCCAAAUUCAAAACUGGCCAAUUUUUCGAAACCCAAAACCAAACCUAAACCAGAAGACCAUAAUUCAAACAAUUAUUUCUGUUUACCAUAUUUCAAAGUAUUUAUAUGAAACUUAAAUUUUUAAAAUAUAAACUUGAAUAUAAUAUUAAAUUUUAAAUUUAAAGUGAACUUUAAAUUAGAGGAUUUUCAUAUUACUAUUUAAAGUUUAAAUUCAAUGAUCAUAUUGUCAAAUCAUUUGAAAUUUUUCUUAUAUGAAAUACCAAAUUAUAAAAGGAAAGAUAGAGAGAGAGAAAAAGGAAAUAAAGAGGAAAUAAAAAUUUUGAAAAUAUAGUAGAUGUAAAAUGACUAAAUUGUCCAUGUAUUAAAAGACAAAAAUAUCUUUUUUUAAGGUACCUGGUAACCGGUACCUCUCCCAAAAUAACCUACUAUUGCAGGUCACAAUUUUAAAAAAACUAAAUCUGAGUCGUUGAACACGCGUGAAUGAACGGUAACAAAAAAAAAAAAGUAUAGAAGCAUUACUCAAAGAAUAAUAUUUUUAUAUUUUUAUAUUUAAGAAUAAAGACCAACC